rnacentral:lncRNA from 1 species
UCUUACUGGACCUCUCCCAUCACUGCUUGGAAAUAUGGAAGCACUCCAAUCUUUAGAUUUGUCUUCAAAUCAACUGACAGGGGCUAUUCCACCUCAGUUAACCGCAUUGACAUUUCUAGAAGUCUUAAACCUCUCGAGAAACCAUCUUAGUGGAGAGAUUCCUGAGAAAGGACAGUUCAGCACAUUCAACAAUGACUCUUAUCUAGAAAACUCUGCGUUAUGUGGAUCACCCUUGACGAAGAAAUGUGUAAACACUGCAUCACCCCCACAGGAAGUCGGAAAUGGUGAUGAAGAUGAUGCUGGUGAUGAGUUGACAUGGGAAGCAAUCGUGAUGGGAUAUGGAUGUGGACUGAUAUGUGGAUUGUCAUCUGCAUACAUUGUUCUCAAACUAGGAAGGCCUUGGUGGUUUGUGAGAUAUGUCGAAGUACUGCAACUGAAGUUGAUGAAAAGAUAUGCAUGAAGAAAGGUACUGGUCGAUCAAGACAAACUUGAAAGUUGUUGUCCUGGUAGACAUUUCUGAACCAGUAGUGUACUAGCUGCAUAAGUAUUUGGUAUUAUGUAAUAAUCCAUUUGGUCGGGACUCAUAAUGAUUUCUCUUGCUUCAGGGGUAUUAAUAUUAACCUUGCUAUCUUGAUCUGUGUUAAUGCAAAUGAAAAAGAAUGGAAAAACAAAAAAAUUGCAUCAAACCUGUUGUACCAAGAUCCAUUAAUCUGCUUUCAUCUCUUACGCAACAAUUUAACAGCACUUUCACACUGUUUGAAUGAUUAUCAUAAAUUCGAGUUUUCCUCGCCAGCACCAAAUCCAAAUAUACAAUCCCACACAUUCCAGUCUCAGCUUCAGCUCCCAGGCUAGCAUUGAUUUAGCCAAGCACGACAGUGGCCGCUUGUGUGCCUAACAAUGACAGUUGGGGAUUUGAUGGAACGUGCCUUGGUCCUGCCUUCAAAUGUCUAACAAUAACAGUUGGAUAUGUCGACAAAAAAAUUGUUCCUCACACUGAGGAAUAACUCUGACAGUUCUUUUCAUUGUGCCUUGGUCCAGUAAGUGGAAGGAGCACAUCACAUCCAUUCCCCAAGUUGCGGAUUCUAGAUCUCUCCAACAACCAAUUCACGGGCUAUUUGCCAAUUCAAUACUUUAAGAAUAUAUGAAACCAGCUGCUGAUAAAGCGUAUAGUUAUCAAAAUAAGUCACAAGGACUAAUUAAUUACAUAUAUGAAGCCUCUAUCUCCUUAAAUGUGAAAGGAACAGAGUAUGAAGUGAAAAACAUCUCUUUAUAUUAUAGCUCCUGAUGCGUGAUUUGUACAGUUACCACACUGCUUAAUUCUUCACCUCAAAGUUCCACCUUAUUACAAAAAUGCCACCGCUCUAUUAAGCGGCACCCACGUAAGCUCAUUGCCACCACGUGCUAUCUUCCUGCUGUCUUUUGUUUAUUUUAUUCACUAAACCGUACUUACCCGAAGCUUAUGUAACAAGCUUACAUUCUUUACAUUUUACUCAUUUCAAAAUUUAAAACCCAGCCUCCACGGCUCCCUUACAAAAGUAACCGGUUUGAACGUAAAGUUUUCAAAACUAACCAGCCUACGUUCAACUUUUCAAAACUAACCAGCCUAAAUCAAAAAAAGUCGGGCGACCCUUACCUGUUUUUUUCCCGAGCACCGGUCGCCCUCCUCAGGGGCGUCCCCCAUUGGAGUUCAUCAAGCACAGGUCGCCCUCCUCAGGGGCGUCCCCCCUUGAAGUUCUGUGACGUGGUCCGCCCAAUCACGGGCGACCACGUGUGACACUACCCCCUUAAAACCCCCUCCCAGCCACACAAACACACAAUUACACACACAUUUGCACACACUCAGUUUGAAAACAACACUGCAGCAGCCACAGCAAGGAGCCGAAAGGGGAGAUUUUGGUAAAGGAAGGAAGAAAAGUGGGAGAGGAUCGCCCGAGCUAGCAUCAAGGUCGCCCACCCUAGCAAAAAAUUUGAAGGUACUACCUUAUUCCUCCCCUAAAUAUUAGUAUAUAAAGCCUUGAUUUGUAAUUUAUUACUUGAUUAGUUUGUCUUGCAUGUUACAAAUAUCGAUUAUGUUCAUGAUUAUGGCUAAUUUAUAGACUAGUGUUAUAAUUACCGGCUUGAGAUUAGUGUUAUAAUUACCGGAUUGAGAUUUGGUACAUUAUGAUUUUUAAAUUUGUUAAAAAAUUUAAAGAUUUAUAAUAGAAAUUAAGGAUAAUUUAUAGAUUUGAUAUGUUGGAAUUUAAGAUUUUAUGCUUUUUAGAUUUUGUAGGUAGUAAUUAAAUUUAGUUGGAGAGAAAAAAUAUAAUAUAAUAUUCGAAUUAAAAAGAUAUUGAGAAUAUAAUAUUCGAAUUAAAAAAUAUUCGAAUUAAAAUAUAUUAAAAUAUAAUAUUCGAAUUAAAAAUAUAAUAUAAUAUUCGAAUUAAAAUAUAAUAUAAUAUAUAUUCGAAUUAAAAAAUAUUCGAAUUAAAAUAUAUUAAAAUAUAAUAUUCAAAUUAAAAAUAUAAUAUAAUAUUCGAAUUAAAAUAUAAUAUAAUAUAUAUUCGAAUUAAAAAAUAUUCGAAUUAAAAUAUAUUAAAAUAUAAUAUUCGAAUUAAAAAAUAAUAUAAAAUAUAUUGAGAAUUAAAAAAAUUAGAAAGCAAAUAAAAUAUUCGGAUAAAAAAGAUAUUAAUAGCUAAUAUUAAAAAAAAUCGAUUUAUAAUAAUAAAAAUUCGAAAAAAAGCAAAAUAAUCGAAUUAAAAUAAAAUUUUCGAACAUAUAUUAAUAAAAAUCUUAAUUAUAUUAAUAUAUAAUUCGAAUAUAUGAAAUUUCGAGAAUUAGAAUAUUUAUGAAAUUAAGAGAAUUAAAAUAAAUAGGAAAUUCGAACAAAAAUUAAUUUAAGGUACGCUCUCGAUUCUCUCUAAAUUAAUGUGUAUAUAUAUAUAAUGACUUGAUUUGGAUUAUUGUUGUUUUAUUAGCUUGAGUUGCAUGUUAUAAGAUCGGUUAGUUUAUUGAUUGUGGCUUGAGAUUUGUUAUAAUUGAAAUUAAGGCUAAUUUAUAGAUUUGAUAUGUUGGAAUUAAGGCUAAUUGAAAUUAAGGCUAAUUUAUAGAUUUGAUAUGUUGGAAUUAAGGCUAAUUGAAAUUAAGGCUAAUUUAUAGAUUUGAUAUGUUGGAAUUUAAGAUUUUGUGCAUGUUAGAUUUUGUAGGUAGUAAUUUAAUUUAGUUAGAAACAAAAGCUUUGAAUUCGAAUUACAAAUAUUAUGUUGGAAUGAGAUUUUGUAUAUAUACAAAAGCUUUGAAUUCGAAUUAUAAAUAUAUUUGAAAAUUGUUGGCGCAGAUGGAUCCUGCAGCUUAUCAUCCCGGGCCGGUUAACGGCACUUUGUUGACAUUGCAGGACACGCAUAGGUCCACUUUUGUGUGGAACAGUAGUACGGUAAUGACUUGAUGGACUGUUGUUUAUUAAAGUUAAUGUUUGCUUCACUAUAAACUGCUGACAAGUUCCUGUAUUUUAAAUUGCAGGACAUUCCUGAUCUUAGAGUCAGGACGAACUUCGGUGAGUACUGGAAUGUAGUUGACCAAACCAGGCCGCCUCAGACGAUAAUAGAUGCUAUUAAUGAUGCGGGCUUUGAGUGGGUGUUCAGGUUGGGUCAGGUCAAGCAUGACAGGGGCUUGAUCACUGCUUUUAUCGAGAGGUGGCGUCCAGAGACGCACACUUUUCAUCUACCUUUCGGGGAGGCCACCAUUACACUGGAGGAUGUCCAUCACAUUCUCGGGUUACGAACCACUGGCCGGCCAUUUAUUCUACAUGGCUUCACCACCACAGCUCGCGAGAGAUUGGCCAUGAUACGCGAUGUUCUUGGAGUGACUCCUAAGCCGGCUGAUGUGAGGAAGAACGGCUUGAGGAUCGGUUGGUUGAUUGAAAAAUUUGGCGACUGUGCCCGGUUGGACGAGGCAGCGGAGGAUUUUGAUGCACAGACUAUCUUUCACAUCAGGGCACACCUACUGUGUGUUAUUGGAUCGUUGUUUCCUGAUAGCAGCGGGAACUAUGUGAAUCUCAACCUCCUUUGGAUGCUACGUGACUUGCAGAGCGUGGAUGGUUAUAGCUGGGGGAGUGCUGUUCUUGCAUACCUUUAUAGGAAGAUGUGCGAUUCCACCCAUAAAGUCACAACCGGCUUCAUUGGCUACGCCACCACUACGCCAUAUAUGAUCUAUCGCAAUGGUAUGAACGCGAGUGUUGCAAAAUUAUGUUGCAAUAGAGACACUGAUCCAUAUCUACCGCAACGAUAACCAUUCAUGUCAAUUAUAUGUUGCAAUAGCAAACAUUAUGUGUUGCAGCUUGUAAUAUACUUGUAAAAGUGUUAGCUUAAAGUAUUAUAAUAUUAUUUUAACAUUAAAUAAUAAUUUAAAUUAUUUUAACAAUAUUUUAAAGUGAUAUGCAAAUUAAAUAAAUAAGAUACGCGAUGAUAUGCAAAUUUUAUUCAUAAUAAUUAAAAAAAUUAAAAUAGGAAUUUUAAAAGUAAUUAAUUUUUUUAAAAGCAAUGAAAAGUAAAAAUAAUUAAAUUCCCCUUGUUUUGAUAUCAGAACUGAUAUAUAAGUUUCAAAAAUAAAAAUAUAGAUAUACGAAUUAUAAGUAGUAAUAAAUACAUAUAAUGAAUUUUGUUCCUAAAAUAAUUACAUGAAUUUUAUUUGUUAAAAUAAUAAAGUAUAGGUGCAGACGUGCAGUACAUUAUUUGACUUUAUUGAACUGGGCAAAUAUCGAGCUCAAAGCGGGUAAAAAUUAGGCUUACAGCCGCCCAAAUUUUCAGCCAAGUUUGAAAUUUUCACACAUACACUAUACACGCUCGAGUCUCCUUGAAUACCCUCAACACUCACUACACUCUCUCCCUCGCUCAACUCUCUCUCCCUUCUCUACUCUCUCUCUCUUGUUAAUCUCUCUGAAGCUAAUCUCUCUCUGGCCACCAUUUUCACUCAAUCUCGCCAUCACUUUUAAUUAACUUGGAUUUGCAUUUAUAGUUGGAGCACAGUUGAUUUGUGGGUCGAGGUUCCAAUUCUUCAAUUAGGGUUUUGGCUUUUCAAUCAGGGUUUUGGUUCUUCAUUAAACUUCAAUUAGGGUUCAAUUACUUACAUAUAAUCUCUUAAACUUCAUCUGAUAUCUCUUUCUCUUUGAUUUCAGGUGUUCUUAGUUUGGGUUUGCACUCCAAGACUUUAUUAUAAGGUAUUUUUGAAUUUAGGGCUUCAUGUUAUGAGUUUAUUUGCAUUUAGUGUUCUUUGUUUUUAUGUUUAUUUGGUUUAUUAUCUUUAUCUAGUUUAUUUCCUUUGAUUUUUUGUUUUUUUUUUCAUUUGUUUUGUGAAAUUGCAAUACUCUGUUUUUGUGUUAAUUUUUUUGUUGCUUAAAAGUGUUCAACAACAAUAUUCUUCUUAAUUAUAAAAGAUCUAUCACGAGGAAGAGGUCCCUGUUUUGUAUAAUAUCUUGUAUGUCUUUUCUUUUCUGUAUAUUAUUAAGCUACCUUGGGGCAUCCUUUUUCUAGACCAGAUUUCGUGCGCAAUCUUUAGUAAAGAGCAAAUAUUCCGAUUCUUUUGCAUUUGUCUCAAUGUCAGUGCUUUGCAUAUAUGGAUAUAUUUUACAUGAAAAUGGUGCUUUUGUUGUUGGCCUGCUUAAUGUUCAAGACAUGUAGUCAACUCAGUUUAGUGUGACAAUAAGACUUUCUCAUUUCAUUAUGAUUCUCACAUAUUUUAUGCUCGUCACAGUACAACACAGUUUUGUAUUUGGUGUGAGUGAGCAGUAAAGAAUUCUAUGGAAGAUGCUAGUGACUACCGGUGGUAUAUAACCAGGUAAAAAUAAUGCUCAGUUGAUAAUCCUUAUAAGGGAGGCUCUUACUAUUUCUUCCUCUUUAACAUUGAGUUGUUUUAAUGUACAUACUAGCUGGUUGCUCAAGUGUUCUAUCAUUAUAAUGUAUACAUUGGAUACAAUAUUUGUUCAAUGAGGUAUCUAACUAGCUUGCUGAUGGCCGGGGACUAUAGAUUUAUUCAUUGCUAAUUGGUUAUAUUCGUUGUACCUGUUAUGCCUCAAUCAUAAUGGCAUAGUGACAAUAAAAGGAAAACGAAUUAUAAAUAUUUCACAUAGCAUGCUCUAGUUAUCUACAACUAUUGUUUUGGACUUCUGGUUUGGCAUUUAUAAUAAGUUGGCAUAUGUCUUUGAAUUCAUAUAGUUUGUAGCAUGACCUAAUUGGCACAAGUCAUCCUCUGCCAUGUCUUAUAUCUUUAGUUAGUAAGAAUUAAUAUUUCCCAUGUUUCAGCCACUAUACAAAUAUUGAUCAUGGACGAAGUUCUUACCCUGUUUAGUAUUAAUUUCAUUAUCUGCUGCAACUUUAUUGUGUUAUCUGUGCACUGCCCAACUAAGUACACAUAAUUUGAGUUUAAAAUAAAGCAUGCUUCUUUACUGGAGCUCAGCUUAGUAGUUGCAUUGUAUUGUUGCAGGAGAAGCUUAAGCCGUUAAUGGAUCAACUUAACAAAGUCAAAGACUUGACUGUUCCAGAAUUUGGAAAUUUCCGAACUUGAGAAGUGCGAGCAAAUGCAAGAAUAUGUUUAUAUAUAAUAGUGUAGUGUAGUGGGAUGUUUGGUUGGAUUCGUUUAAUACUUUGAUUUGGUUGGAUUUGUUAGGUAGUUUUGUUUGGUUGGAUUUGUUAUAAACUUUGAUUUGUAUGAAAGAAUAGUUUAAUGUUUCAGUGGAUAUAGUGAAAUAUUGCAAAGUUGUUAAUUUAGUCUUGCAUUAGCACAUAUAUGUUGUAGUAGCUAAUAUAUAUAUGUUUCAAUUUAUAACAAAAAAUGUUGCAAACAUGCAACUGAAAAACAGGUGUCCAAACAUAGGACCCACAUGUGUGACCCACGUGUGGGUCCCACUUUUUUUGAAAUCAGGAGGUCUAACGUAACAUAAUAUAUUUGUUGCUAUAGGGUAGUCAGAUGUUGCAAUAUCACGUCUAUUGUAACAUAAAAAGCCGUGUUGCAGUAGGUUACCCAAAUGUUGCAAUAGAAGCCUAGGGCAACAUGAAAAAAUGCAACUUAAAUUUUAUGUUGCAAUAGCCCUUUUUCGGGCUAUGGCAACAUAUUUUGGGGUUAUGGCAUCAUUUUUUUGAUGUUGUCNNNNNNNNNNNNNNNNNNNNNNNNNNNNNNNNNNNNNNNNNNNNNNNNNNNNNNNNNNNNNNNNNNNNNNNNNNNNNNNNNNNNNNNNNNNNNNNNNNNNNNNNNNNNNNNNNNNNNNNNNNNNNNNNNNNNNNNNNNNNNNNNNNNNNNNNNNNNNNNNNNNNNNNNNNNNNNNNNNNNNNNNNNNNNNNNNNNNNNNNNNNNNNNNNNNNNNNNNNNNNNNNNNNNNNNNNNNNNNNNNNNNNNNNNNNNNNNNNNNNNNNNNNNNNNNNNNNNNNNNNNNNNNNNNNNNNNNNNNNNNNNNNNNNNNNNNNNNNNNNNNNNNNNNNNNNNNNNNNNNNNNNNNNNNNNNNNNNNNNNNNNNNNNNNNNNNNNNNNNNNNNNNNNNNNNNNNNNNNNNNNNNNNNNNNNNNNNNNNNNNNNNNNNNNNNNNNNNNNNNNNNNNNNNNNNNNNNNNNNNNNNNNNNNNNNNNNNNNNNNNNNNNNNNNNNNNNNNNNNNNNNNNNNNNNNNNNNNNNNNNNNNNNNNNNNNNNNNNNNNNNNNNNNNNNNNNNNNNNNNNNNNNNNNNNNNNNNNNNNNNNNNNNNNNNNNNNNNNNNNNNNNNNNNNNNNNNNNNNNNNNNNNNNNNNNNNNNNNNNNNNNNNNNNNNNNNNNNNNNNNNNNNNNNNNNNNNNNNNNNNNNNNNNNNNNNNNNNNNNNNNNNNNNNNNNNNNNNNNNNNNNNNNGCUUAUCCUCGUAUGUAGUUUGUUUAUGGUUAUGUACCUGACCAUGUACUCGUACAUUUUUAUUUCUUGAUCUGAUUAUGUACUCUUAGUCUAGUAGAUCGGUUGUUACGUUAUUAUGCAGUUCUUGUGCAUUCUUAUGUCAUAAUGUUUUAUAAUGAUUCAAGCAUUGAAAUUCAUAUGGACAAUAAAGGAAACCUAACAUAACAUAAUAAACGACAGAACACUAAAACACAUACACAUGUUGAUCUUUCUCGAAACCAGUAAAACUGACUUUAUUUUGACUAAACUUUACAUAUAUCAAAUAACUGAAAAAAAUAAUAUAAAAUUUGAAUUACUUGAACAACAAAAGUUGAGACAUUACAUAUAAGAUACAAUACAUAUAGUAAUGGGGGUGAUCUUUUGGAGAAAAUACCUAACUCAAAGGGAUUUCUUCAAAUAAUUUGAGAUGGGUCAGAGCUUCAAGAAUCUGUGUACUCUGCUUUUACAAGUACAAAGUGGGAAAAAGUGAGACAUAAAUAAAAUGUAGUGAAGUAUUUGAGAUGGGAGAAAGUAAAACUAACUUAAUUUCAUAUUAAUAUUGUGAAGAUAUUAGCAUAGAAUGAUAAAUAUACAUUUCUACUACCCAUUUAUAAAAGAAAUAUUAUAAAAUAUAAAACUCUACGCUUUAAAUUUAAAUUGUUUUAAGUUGUUUUCUAUUAAAUUAUUUUCCCCACAGGGGAAAAUAAUAUUAAAUUGUUUUAAUAUUAUUGUUUUAUUAUUAUUUGAUUAUUAAAUUAACGAGUACAUAAUUUGUAAAGUUUAGUGCUAAGAUAUAUAUAUUAUUUAAUUUUAUUAAUUAUAUUAAUUUCACAAAACAAUUAAAAUUUGAUUUUAAAUAAAAUAUUAAAUAUAUAAUACAAUAAUAUUAAAUGGCGUAUAAUCAGUGUUACAGAAAUCGGGAAUCGGACCUAAUCGGUUGAGCUACCGAUUCAGGGAUUAAUCGGAAAUCGGAGAUUAAUCGGACUGAAAAUCGGAUUUAUUUUAAUAUUAAAAUAUUAUUUAUUAUUUAGUUAUUAUUAUAUUAGGUAUCUAGUAACUAAUAUAUUUACUAUAUUCAUAAACUCUAUAAUUAUUCAUAUUUAAAGUAAUAUAGUAUUUUAAUUCUAAUAAUUUAUCACAUAUACUUCUAUUAGAAAAUAUGUUAUAAGGAUUAAUCGGAUUUUAAAAAUCGAAUCGGUGGCCGACCUUGCAGGAGAUUAAUCGAGGAUUAAUCAGUUAAAUCGGGGAUUUUUAGAACAUUCGGCGUAUUAUAAUACAAUUAUAUCAAAAUUUAAAAAAAAAUCAGUACCUCAGUUUGGGUAUCGGUCAGCCACCUAGGACAAGUGAAUGAGUGAAACCGCUACAAAAAAUGUAGUAGUAUGGGUCGCCCCUGUCAAGGGCGAUCCUAACUGUAUUUUGUAACAGUAUGGGUCGCCCCUGACGAGGGCGACCUGAACGGGGAAAAACUUCAGCUUGGGUCGCCCGACUUUUUUUGAUUUAGGCUGGUUAGUUUUGAAAAGUUGAACGUAGGCUGGUUAGUUUUGAAAACUUUACGUUCGAACUGGUUACUUUUGUAAGGGAGCCCAGCCUCCACCAUUGCAGCUCUGAGCAGCCAUGAACCAGGUUAUACUCCAGUCUCCUUUUCUCCCCCGCGUGUGUAAGUCUGUACUGCAGCCCACAUUUUCAACACGCUUCUGUCCUAAGCUUCGCAAGAAAUAUCUUUUUUUUGAAAUUCAAAAAAUUUGCGCACCAUAUCAUCGUCCAGCCAAACCACCAUCGGCGAAUCAGCAAAUAUACAUAUCAGAUCUAAUAUACACCAAUCUGAGCUUUGAUGACUGAGGUUUGAUUUGUGUUUUAUUUAAUAAAAUGAUAAAAUGAUGUCUUCUUUCAUGAUCAUGCGAUUAAUCGAUUGUAACUUUAAGGGAGAUGGAACAAGCAAUUCACGACGUCUAUUUACCUCCGAAGACAUGAUUAGUGGUAUGGUUACAUAAAUUUAACUUCUCUAUUUUUCUACCAUGUGUGGCCUAAUUGUUUCAUCUCUUGCUUUGUAGGUUAUCAGUCCAAAAAGCGGAGGAAAAGGGGCUACACAAUUAAGAGAUGAAACAGUAUUGAGCAUGUGAGCUUUAAAACUUGAUGAUUAAAUUUUUCAUAUUAUAUUUGUUCUGUAUUUAGAAAUUUGUGGAGGAUGUGUUUGAUAAUAUGUCUGAGAGAAGAAGUUAAUAAAUUUAUCGUGUUGAGGAUGUGUUUGAUGAUAUGUCCGAGUGAAAAAAUUAAUAAAUUUAUUUUCAAAAUGUUGCGAACAAAUUGUAAUUUAUAUCUAGCAGCUUCAAAUAAUUUUUUUUAGAGCAAAAAGAAUCGCAAUUGCAUGUGAAGAGAUGCACCUCCCUGAUAUUAGACUUUUAGUGUAAUUGCAUGUGUAACUAAACCGCUUGACUAUAAUGUUGGUGUAGAGUACGGAGCUUUAAUUUAUGAUGUUCUCCUCAAUCUGUCCAAAUUAUAGCUGAUCGUGGGAAUCAACUUUAGGGUAAGCUCUGCUCUGAAACUCAUUUUCUUAUAUUGGAACUUGGUUAUUUCUUAAAUGAAACGACUUUGACGUUUUCACCGAGUAGUCAUAGAUGCGUGAGUUGUACAAUAGUAAAAGAAAAAUAAAUUACAUAAAGACUGUCUGAGGUAAAAUAGUAUACAAGCUGCAAUUUUAUAUUUGGUACAUUGACGUAAAAAGUUAUUGUUAUGUUCAGGGGGAGGUGCUGAGAAAUGACAUGAUUAUAUCAUACGAGCGGCGACAAACUACUGAAGUUGCAAAAGAAAUGAUCUUAAAGAAAGCAGAGAAAGUGGGGGAGUUUUUUCAAGAAAAGAAUUUAAAGAGGAGAUGAGAUGCCAGAGUAUUACGCGCUAUUGCCGAAACAGGAUUAAAAACUAUAUUGGGUAUCUCUUCUUGAUCUCUUGAUUAAUUCCACUAGGAAGCUUCAAUAUUAUAUAGGAAGUUUUCUUUUUAAGCUUAAUUUUGAAUUUGAAUCCUCAAACUAUAACUACUGUAUAUCUCUUUAUAUUAUAGCUCCUGACGCCGGGAACUUCCCCUUCUACAACCAGCCCAACUGUACAUAACAGUUGCUUGCUUAUGAAUUUCAAAUUUAUAUUAUAAUGUUUAUAUGUAAUAUUGAAUCAAAGUUGCUUGCUUGCUUAUGUAAUAUUGAAUAUCUACUGUUGGAUGAUUGUUAACUGCUGUGUUACCAAGUGUUUGAUUAAAUUCCUACAAGUUUUGUUUGAAUUUUGUUCUUUAUUUAUCAUUAGUAUGUUUCAUUUUUAUGUUUGACUCUAUGCUAAUCGCUGAUAAGAUUUCUAUGAUUAUAGGAGAUGAGUGUUCUUAUGGCAUGAAUGAUAUUGGAAAAGUGAAAUGUGUUGAUGCUUUGUGUAAAUAAAUCAUGAUCUGCCGUUAUAGUUUUCUGUUUGUUUUCAAUUUGUGUGUACCUAGGUGGUUGUUACUGAGCAUUGAUCAACUGUGUUAAUUAAUUUAUUAAAAUGGAGUUGAGUCUGAGAACUAAAGGGCAAUUAUAUACUUCUUUAGGCUUUCCUUAACAUGUUUUUAUUCAUUAAAAAAAAUCGAUGAGUUUUUAUAAAUAUAUAUACUCUGUUAUUUUCUCUGUACCUAAUUAAAAGGAUUUUAAUUCGAAUUAUAGGUGUUUGUCAUGUGAAUAUUAUCUAAAAGAUAAUGGGGCCGUUUGGGUUAGCUUAAAAGAAGUGACUUUUUGCUUAUAGUAAAGAAGUGGAGUAGAAGUGAGAAGUAAAUAAGUUAAUAAAGUGUUUGGAAAAGAAGCAGAAGCUGUGAGAGAGAAGCUAGCAUUCUCAGCUUCUUAAAAGUGCUUCAACUUCUUUACACAAACAGGUCAAGAGAAGCAGAAGCCAGAAGCAGCUUCUGCUUCUCUUGGCCAAACAGGCCCAAUAUCUUUAAGGUCUCUUGCAUUGGUCAUUUAAUGUGUUAAUUAAAAGUUUACAUUUAAAUUUUUUGAUCUAAUAAUUUUGGAUAGAUGGUUUGUGAGGUUAAUGAAUGAACUAAUAUGGAAUGAUAAAAUGUAGGAGGUCUGGAAAGAUGGGUUUCAAUGCAGGUUUAUUGCUACUUUCCUUCAGGUCUGCAUUGCUUUGGUCUGUCUUCAGGACUGAGACUGUGAUUGGUUUCGGAACAGACACAAGUAUAUAUAUGGACCAAUGCAAAGCACCUGAUUAUCAUACUUUAGGCUUUUGCUCUGCUUUCUAUGGUAAAAAAAAGUGACAUUACUUCGAAUCUGAUACAGUUUAUCCAAGAGCUUGCUUCAAUAUUAAGAAUGCAAUACGUGUUGCAGAUAAAAUUUUGACCAGCAACAUUGGGGCACCCAACCCAAAUCUAGCAACAUUGGCCGUGGAGCUUUAAAUAUCUCCGUAAGAUUCUUUUCCCUCGCAGGCAGGCAUCUUUUUCUGCGAAAAAUAUACAAGAAAAAAGGACUAAUUUGUUUAAUUGAAAAUAAAUUUCGGAUGAGUUGGAUUAAGAAUCAAAUGGAGAGUCCUGUUUUGGUUUCAUUUUGAUGGAGAGGUUGCUUAGGUCCUGUUUUGAUCGAAAGGUUGAAAAAAUAUUUGGUAUUUUUUGGUCUCAUUUUGGUUUGUUUCGUUCCUUCACAGGUGUGCAACAAGUGAUGAUAGUAUUUAAACAUGAUUAGCAAACUGCCCAGCAAUCCAUGCAUGGCAAGGGGAAUGCACAGCUUAAUGAUUUCAGUCUCCGUACCAUCCAAGUGCAACAAAAAUCAAUUAUCUUGUGAUGUCUAGGAUUCUACAAAAGUAAGAAGCCUUCAUUCAUCUUCAUUCAUCCCCUGUUACUAGAAAAGCAUUGGUAGCCUAUAAGCAGGUACACUAAGUAGCUCACCUAAUUUUUGCAUUUCAGUAUCAACGGAAAGUGGUGCAGGACUCCACUUUAUAAUUAAAUUAUGUGUCUAAAUUAUGCGUGUUGUAAUGUUUAGUGACCAUGUUCCAGACCCGACAUGUCCUUACUUGGCAGAUCAAGUUAUCCAAGAUUUGGGAAGGAGUUUCGCCUUUGAGAUCUCCAACAAGUAAGAAGAAAUAAUGUCAAGGAAUGAACUAAUGUAAAAUGAUAAGAAGAUGAAGGUAUAAAACAAUGAUUAUAAUGUAGGCUUCUUCGUAAUGUAAUGAACAAAAUAAUGGAGUAACUAUAACUAUUCUUGCUGCAAGCCUGUGUUUGUUUAAUGCUAUCUGGCAGUAGUUUAGCAUUGGUAUAUUCCUUAAGGUGGAUUUGGAUAGAGUGAGAGGAGACAUUACUUAUCUUUACCUAGCUACUGCUUUUCAUGAGAUUUGGGCAGAGCGUAACAUUAGAAUUCAUCAUCCUAAGAGUUUUAAAGUUGCAAACCGGCUUAUCAAGGACAUAAUAGCCUCUGUUACUAUUUUUACAUGCUCCUCUAUUGUUGUGUGAACUUGCUGAACUCCUUUUUUCUGUUGUUCUACUUACUAAAAUCUUUUUAAUUUUCUUUUGUUAGGUACACUAAGUGGUUCACUCAAUUUUGGCAUUUUAGUAUCAUUGGCAAGUGGUGUAGGACUCCAUGAUUCUGUGUUGUCCACAAGCAACGAAAAAAANNNNNNNNNNNNNNNNNNNNNNNNNNNNNNNNNNNNNNNNNNNNNNNNNNNNNNNNNNNNNNNNNNNNNNNNNNNNNNNNNNNNNNNNNNNNNNNNNNNNNNNNNNNNNNNNNNNNNNNNNNNNNNNNNNNNNNNNNNNNNNNNNNNNNNNNNNNNNNNNNNNNNNNNNNNNNNNNNNNNNNNNNNNNNNNNNNNNNNNNNNNNNNNNNNNNNNNNNNNNNNNNNNNNNNNNNNNNNNNNNNNNNNNNNNNNNNNNNNNNNNNNNNNNNNNNNNNNNNNNNNNNNNNNNNNNNNNNNNNNNNNNNNNNNNNNNNNNNNNNNNNNNNNNNNNNNNNNNNNNNNNNNNNNNNNNNNNNNNNNNNNNNNNNNNNNNNNNNNNNNNNNNNNNNNNNNNNNNNNNNNNNNNNNNNNNNNNNNNNNNNNNNNNNNNNNNNNNNNNNNNNNNNNNNNNNNNNNNNNNNNNNNNNNNNNNNNNNNNNNNNNNNNNNNNNNNNNNNNNNNNNNNNNNNNNNNNNNNNNNNNNNNNNNNNNNNNNNNNNNNNNNNNNNNNNNNNNNNNNNNNNNNNNNNNNNNNNNNNNNNNNNNNNNNNNNNNNNNNNNNNNNNNNNNNNNNNNNNNNNNNNNNNNNNNNNNNNNNNNNNNNNNNNNNNNNNNNNNNNNNNNNNNNNNNNNNNNNNNNNNNNNNNNNNNNNNNNNNNNNNNNNNNNNNNNNNNNNNNNNNNNNNNNNNNNNNNNNNNNNNNNNNNNNNNNNNNNNNNNNNNNNNNNNNNNNNNNNNNNNNNNNNNNNNNNNNNNNNNNNNNNNNNNNNNNNNNNNNNNNNNNNNNNNNNNNNNNNNNNNNNNNNNNNNNNNNNNNNNNNNNNNNNNNNUUUUACAUGCUCCUCUAUUGUUGUGUGAACUUGCUGAACUCCUUUUUUCUGUUGUUCUACUUACUAAAAUCUUUUUAAUUUUCUUUUGUUAGGUACACUAAGUGGUUCACUCAAUUUUGGCAUUUUAGUAUCAUUGGCAAGUGGUGUAGGACUCCAUGAUUCUGUGUUGUCCACAAGCAACGGAAAAAAAGCCUGCAGAAAUGUUUCGAAUACUUUGAACGAAAUAAAGGUACAUUAUUAGGCAAGUGAUUGUGGCGGCAGAGAUAGCAGUUUGAUUGCUACACAAUUAUGUGUUUCACAAGAUUUUGCUAUUUUAAAUUAUAGUAAAUUUGAUUAAAUCCCACUCGGAAAGUUUGAAAUUUCUUGAUGUUGCUUAGUUAAAAUUUGGAUAUGGACAAUUAUGAUAUUUGUGAAUUUGGGUUCUUUUUAUAGGUGAUUUUUGAACAUUGCUAGAAUGAUAUAUGAUCUCAGGCCUCACACUCUUAACAUCUUUACGAGGCUUACGAGGUUCGAGAUGAGUUGGUUACUUAACAUGAUUCGUUUAAUUUAAUUAUGUGUUUGUGUAGUUGGGUUGAUUUGUUGUUUGUUUCGUUUAAUUGUACAAUUAAGGAGAUGGUGUUUACAAUAAUAAUAUUGAAGAUAGUUUGUAACUAGAGUAUGUUGUUAAUAAUUUGGUUAUGAGAAAUUGAGGCCGACACAAGUUUAAUCUGGCUUUCUCGAGAUGAUCUGACCUCGAGAAGAAAGAUUAUCUCAAAGUAGUUUUGUAAGUUGCUUCUCUCUGUUUUUGGACAAUGUAAAUUCUUACAUUACAUCUGCCUCUUGCAGGUAACAUCUUUGCUUUUAGGCUCUUUAUAUCGCCGAUGUAAGUUUUGCUCCAUAAAUUUCAGUGUUUGGCUAGAUCUCCUACAACUGUACUUUUAAAGAAAAAUAGAAGAAAUCAAGAACUGAGUUUACUGUACUUUUGCAGUGAUAAUCAGAUAUGUACCGGUUUUGCUUCGCAUAGUCACACCUUUUCUUUGUACAAUUGCAGACCCACUUUUAGGGGUAUUAUGAUGAGGAACGAGUGUACAGAAGACUUCUCAGGUCUUCCAUAUCUAUAUGCCCUCCUGCACUGCUUGAUUUGUGCCUGGUAUGGCAUGUCGUUUAUGUCAGAUGAUAAUGUGCUUGAUAACUGUAACCUUAUACAGCUACAUUUACUUUAAAUGUCUUGAACACAGUGGUUGCAAAUAAUGGUUAAAUGAUUAAUAUUUACACUGAUCUACUGCUUUUACACUGAUCACUGCUUAUGAUGUUGAAAAACCAAAAUUUGGUGGAGAAAUUGGGAUCAAUGGAGGGAGCUUGCACUGACACACGAAAUCUGUCAAAGCCUAGAUUACAAAGUAAUACUUUACUUGACUGAUCGACGGUUCAACUCAGCAGGAUAUGGAGUAUGCUCGCAGUGUACAUAACAUCCAAUCUCCCAAGGUCUCAUCAUCUACUUUGGAGACAACCUCAAAAUGGGUGUAGUUGCACUUGCACCCAAAAAUGAAGCCAGUGCAAAAAUCAAAGAGAUGACCCAUUUGUUAAAAAUGUUGAGGCUGAAGAGUACAAGGGAACCAAGGUCAGAGAUGUCUCCUCCGCUAAGAGAUGAGGAAAUAUGGCAGUCGUUGGUAUUUGGGAAAUGCAUGUUAGCAAAUACAUGGAUUAUAAAUUGUAUGAGUGACAGGAUGAUAAUAUAGCGUCUCAUAGUCUAAUAUUGCCAAUGACAGGGCUAAUAGCAAUAGCACUUUCAAAAGUAGGUUUGCAGCUGUGAAAUUCACUCAAAGUUGUGAAAUUUGUGAAAUUUGCUUUUGCUCUAACAUGUAAUACCCCGGGUUCCAUUCUUUUGUUUACUUGAAUUUGAAUUGUAUUGUUAUCUUUGUUUUUUUAUUAUAAUUAUCCAAAAAUAGAUGUCCAUCUUGACUUUUGGUUGGUUAUUAGACAGAGGAAUUGAGCCCGGAAAUAAAAGUGUUACUAAUUAUCAUCCAUUAUUAAAGCAAUUAUUAUAUUAGACCAAUUUUAUUUUUGCACUAUUUGAAAUAUUCACUUUAUCUGAAUGAUGAAUGGUUCUUCUUUCAGUUAAUACAGUGUCAUUCACUGGUUAACAAAUGACCUCUUAAAUUAUUCAUGAAAUCAUUUAAAAAUAUAUAAAGUUUAAUUGACAAAUUUAUCUUUUUUAAUAAAAUUAUACUCAAAUUUUUGGUUGAAAUGUAUGUAGCUUUAAGAUUAUAAUCACUUUUAGCCGAAAGUACUUUAAUAUUAGUGUUCAUAAAAAUAAUUUUUGAAUAACUUAUUAAUGAUUAAUUAUUUUAUGUAACGGUUUAAUAAAAUUAUACAAAUAUAAUGAUUUCUAAUUUGAGAAUAGUUUUUUAUAGUUCAAAACAAAAUUUAUAAUAAAAAAAUUUAACGAGUUAUCAGUAAUUAAUAAUAUACAUUUACAAUUAAAUUAUCCAAAUUAAUUAUAAAAUAUUAAAAUUUAAAAUAUUUGACUAAAGUGCGAGGCGUCACCGCUCGGCGACGUCGAGGGGCACUUGAUAGAAUAUGACUUUUCAUAUAUUACAAAGUUUAGCUAUAUAAUUAUUUUGAUUAUAAGAUAUUAAAAUAUAAAAUAUUCGACUAAAGUGUGAGGCGUCGCCGCUCGACGACACCGAGGAGGACUUGAUAAAAUAUGACUUUUCAUAUAUUACAAAUGUUUAGCUAUAUAAUUAUUUUGAUUAUAAAAUAUUAAAAUAUAAAAUAUUCUACUAAAGUGUGAGGCGUCACCGGUCGGCGACGACGAGGAGCACUUGAUAGAAUAUGAUCUUUCAUAUAUUACAAAGUUUAGCUAUAUAAUUAUUUUGAUUAUAAGAUAUUAAAAUAUAAAAUAUUCGACUAAAGUGCGAGGCGUUGCCGCUCGGCGAGCCGAGGAGUACUUGAUAAAAUAUGACUUUUCAUAUAUUACAAAUGUUUGGCUAUAUAAUUAUUUUGAUUAUAAAAUAUUAGAAUAUAAAAUAUUCGACUAAAGUGCGAGACAUCGCCGGGGAGCACUUGAUAAAAUAUGACUUUUCAUAUAUUACAAAUGUAUUAUAUAAUUAUUUUGAUUAUAAAAUAUUAAAAUAUAAAAUAUUCGACUAAAGUGCGAGGUGUCGCCGAGGAGUACUUGAUAAAAUAUGACUUUUCAUAUAUUGAAAAUGUUUAGCUAUAUAAUUAUUUAAAUUAUAAAAUAUAAAAUAUUCGACUAAAGUGCGAGGCGUCGCCGAGCGGCGACGCCGAGAAGUACUUGAUAAAAUAUGACUUUCAUAUCUUUAAAAAUAUUAUGUAAUUUUCGAACGUAAAUGAAUUUUAAUUACGAAUUAACUUUUAUAAAUACUCAAGUUAUACAACGGUUUUUGUUGAAUUUGAUUUUUAUUUUACACUGAACUUUUAUUUUUAUAACUACAAAAUCACAAGUUAUAUUUAAUAUUUUUUUUAUAACUCAAUUGUUGUUUUCUUGCAUAUAAAAGUUUGUAAGUAUAAGUAAUGGAUAUAAUAACGUCAUAUUAAUUUUCAAAAUAUAAUCAAUAUUUUAAAUCUUAUUGACAAAAAAAGGACUAAAUUCUAUCUAUUAUUUUAAAAUAUUAUUUUAAAAUAUUAUUGUAUAUACAAAUACUCACAAAUACUCCAUGACGCUGACGAACAUCCAAUAAUCAUUAUCAGGUAGUGAAAGAUCUGAGGAACACAUUAAAAUUUGUACUUCAAUAAAACACAAUUGAAAGAUGAAUUUUAGCCAAAAUAAAUAUGCAUGAAUACAGGUUGGCAAAUUGGCGUAACAACCACUGAGCUACUCAAGUACAAGGACUCGAUGAAAGGCCUCUACUACUCCCAGAACCUGAAAAUGCUAUUUCUAUAAUUCCAUCACGUUAUUUAUCUUAUUUAAUGUACUGUUCUGUGAUAACGUAUGGGAACUCGCUAAUAUGGAAUGCUAGCUUUGCAUUUGGUCUCCUCGCCAUAUUCACAAAUCAUUAGGAUUCAUAUAGAAUUGGUGCGUGUUCAAAACAGAAUUUUUUCAAGCACAAGAUCAGCAAAAAUAAAUUUAUUAAUCUUCUGCAAUUUAAAAUGCCCAGCAAGGCGGGCAUAAAUACUAGUUCUUCAUAUUUACACAACCAUUGAUCUGUCUUGCAACAAAUUUCAAGGAGAAGUUCCAAAGGUUACAUGAGAGCUUAAAUGGCUUGCAUUGCUCAAUCUAUCUCAUAAUAGUCUCACCGGACAUAUCCCAUCACUCCUCGGAAAUAUGGAAGCACUCCUAUCUCUAGAUUUGUCUUCAAAUCAAUUGACAGGGGCUAUUCCACACCAAUUAACUAAAUUGACAUUUCUAAAGGUGUUGAACCUCUCGGGAAAUAAUCUUACUGGGGAAAUCCCGCAAAAAGGGCAAUUCAGCACUUUUGGAAAUGAGUCAUACUUGGGGAACCCGGCCUUGUGUGGACUUCCUUUGACGGAAAAAUGCAUGCAUGCAGUGUCACCAACUCAAGAAGUCGGAAAUGGUGAUACUGAUGAAGAUGACGAUGCUGAUGAUGAACUUAAUUGGGAAGCCAUCCUGAUGGGAUAUGGAUGUGGAUUGAUAUGCGGAUUGUCUUUGGGGUACAUUGUUUUCAAGAUAGGAAAGCCUUGGUGGUUUGUGAAAUACAUUAAAAUACUACAACUGAAAUUGAUGAAAACAUGCACAAAGCAUAGCAGACGAAAGACUUGAGGAGAUGUUGUCUUAGGAUGCAAUCUCGUUUAAUACUUUCAUCAUUAUUCUCCAAGAUGUCUGAACAUGUAUUUUCAAAGAAUUCUCAGUUCACCUUUAGCCUUAUAAAGUAAAAGACAUUUUAAAGGCACUCUCAACUUACACCUAUAUAUACACGUACGGUUCACUUCAGUACAAAGAUUAUUAGCCAUGCAAAACAUGCAGAACCACUAGUAAUGCAGAAAAACAAAAUAUCAGUUUUCUCCAAAUAUCACUACAACAAAACUGCCAUUUUACGACGGAAAUCUAAUAUUCUAAAGGUUUACGACCAAACUAUGUUGGUGGACUUUAUUUUAAUUUACAGUUUUAACAGUAGUUAAUUUUGGAUAUCUAAACUUGCGACAGAAAACAUACGACAGUCUACCUCGCGAGAGAAAAUCAUUUUAUUUUAUUUUUUAGCGCCAGAAUUUUAAUACUAAAAUAUUAUAUAUAUGAAGGAAACUGAUCUCUAAUGUUUUCAGCUUGCUCAUCCAUAUGUAAGUAAUCCGUCGAAAAAGUUAGUUUGUUGUGGUGGUGUCUUAUCAUGAGAGAAAAUGAUAAUAUCGCAAAAUAUUUGCAACUGAAAGAUAAAUUAUAAUUCUAGAAACCAUUUAGGUAACGAUGCACGAAGUUAUUUUCACUCACUUAGAAUUAAUGAUCAUAAAUAUUUGCAACGGAAAGAUACAUUAUAGUUCUAGAAAAGGAUCCACGAAGUUAUUUUCACUCACUUAGAAUUAAUUGUAAGUUAUUGUGAGUUUUUGAAUAUGGAUUAUCUCAAAUUUUAUGAAAACACAUAUUGAUUCAUAUAUACAAAUUUGCCUACCUAAUAUUAUAAUAUUUAUGGAGAAGUUGUAUGAACAAUUGUGUAGAUAAUUAUACUUUACAAAGCAUACUUCUGCUAGAUGAAUUUUGAUUAAACAAAAUCGAAAGGGAUAGGUCUGGGUCUCUCCAAGUCUUUGAGGACUCAUUCCAAGUCUUCUGACGAGGACAAAAUAUAUUGCUGGUAGUCUUUCAGUCCUUCCUAGAGUAUUUUAUGCUCUGGACUGCAUUAUGCAGCUCUCAUAUAACUUUGCGAUGCAAAACAGUGGCAAGUAAGUAUUUCCGUAUGUGUAUUUAUUUGUAUAUUAAAGUUGCGUAACAUUUGUGUUGAUAAUUUGCGUAAUGUUGAUGAGGAUUGCUCCCAAGUCUUGGACGGACUCUUUCCAAAUCUUCUGAGGACAUAUCGGUUCAAAUUAGUCCAUUAAAAAUUUUAUGAUAUGAAGCUAUCUGCAAAAUAAUAUAUAAGGUAAAAUGAACCAUUGUUUUGUGGUUAAGUUGUACAGGCAAUAUGCAGUGCAAAAUCAGGAACAGAAUAUAUGAAUACUAGUAAUAUGAUAUCGGUAUGAACGAAUAUUUUCUAUGUAGUUGUUAUUGUGAUGCGGAAAAAAUAUUGUAACCAAAAAUAAUUAUAAUUCUAAAAAUUUCCAUUAUACACUUUUUUAGUGUUCGUGGUACUUCAAAUGACAUUUCUCGCGUAUGCCUCCAAUUAAGAACUUGAUGUUCAGCAUAGUCCGAAACUAAAAUUAUUAUAAGUGUGUAAUUCAAAAUUAUAUUGCUGGUAGUCUUUCAGUUCUUCCUAGUGUAUGCAGUAGUUUCAUUCGAUACCGAUUAUUUUAUGCAUUGCCCGAGAACCAGUCUAUCUAAAACCCUAAGAUGUUAUAUUUUUAUACGUGUAUUAGUUUUGAAGAUUAAAGUUGUAUGGACAAUUGUGUUAAUAAUUUGCGCAAUUGCGCAAUGAUAACUGGGAUAGGUCAUCUUCUCUCCCAAGUCUUGGAUGGAAUCUUUCCAAGUCUUCUGAGAACCCAUCAGCUCAGAUUAGUCCAUACAAUGUCAAGGGUCCUAUGAUAUGGUCUACUAACAGCCCAGUGUCGGUAAUAAAUCCAAUUGCAUAUAACCUAUUCAAAAUCAAUCCCCUAUAAACAAUCAUCUCUAAAAACUAUUCACAUAAAAUAAAAUUUUAAAAAUAUAAAAUAUCUAGUUGUUUUCAAUAUAUAAUUUUCCACAGUAGAUAACACAAUAUCUUUAUCAAAUUAUUAUUUAUGGGUUCAAUAUUUAAGCUAUAAUUCCAACAACACGGCAAGCAUGCAGCAUAUAAAUAGAAGUGUGCAGUAUGGUAUUGCAUUCAUAACCCAGUUGAGGAAAAAUAUGGCACCCUUCCUAAAGCCUUCUCACCUUCUUCUCUUUGUUUUCUUUCUCUCAUCACCUGAGUCCAUUCUUGCGACAACACGAGAAGGAGAAGCUCUUGUGAAGUGGAAGAAUAGCCUAGCCCCUUCUUCUUUUCUUGAUUCUUGGUCACUCACUCAUCUCGAUAAUCUUUGUAACUGGACUGGCAUUACUUGUAACUCUGCAGGUUCAGUCUCUAAGAUUAACCUUUUUGAGAAACAACUUAAUGGAAUGCUGUCCGAGUUUGGUUUCACUUCAUUUCCAAAUCUCAGCAAUCUCACCCUCACAUACAACUUCUUCUCGGGUCCCAUACCACCAGCCAUUGAGAAUUUAACCCAGCUUCGGUAUCUUGAUUUGAGCUAUAAUUAUCUGGAUGGUCCCAUUCCGUUCCAGGUUAGCCAUCUUCAGAGCUUGCUCAUCUUGAACCUGUCACAGAAUGCAUUGCAAGCUCCAAAUUGGUCCCAUUUCUCUCCCAUGCCUUUCUUGCGCAUCCUCAACCUCAGUUACAAUCCUCUUGCGUCGAAAUUCCCAAAUUUUAUAUCCAAUUCUCAUAGCCUGACUCACCUUAGCCUUAAUUUUAAUGAGUUUACUGGUGAUCUAGUACGUGAAUCAAUAUUUGCCAAUCUGCAUAAUCUUGAAGUCCUCAGUCUUCUUGGCAAUUUUUUUGAGGGGCCAUUUCCGCCAGAUAUAUUCAAGCUUUCCAAAUUAAAACAUCUUCACCUGUCAGGUAACAAAUUCUCAGGUUCAAUUCCAAAUGACAUAAGGUUGCUUUGUGGUCUUGAAAACCUAUUUUUAAGCAACAAUUCCUUUGAAGGACCGCUUCCACCAAAUAUAUUUAAGCUUUCAAAAUUAAAACAACUUGUUCUUUGGAGUAAUAAUUUUUCAGGUUCUAUUUCCAAUGAUAUAGGUUUGCUUUCUGAACUUGAAACCCUCAAUCUUCAAUUUAAUUUUUUUGAGGGGCCGCUUCCCCCACAUAUAUUUAGGCUCUCUAAGUUAACAGGUCUAGAACUCGGAGACAAUAGAAAUUUAUUUGAAGGAAGUAAUAUUCCUAUCGGACUGGGACUCUUGACUAACCUCAGGUACUUAGAUUUACAUUCCAGUAAUCUCAGUGGCUAUAUUCCAUCUGACAUUGGAAACCUGAAGCUACUAGUACUUCUUAGUCUCGGUUCUAAUCAAUUGACUGGACCGCUUUCAAAGAUCGUUUAUAAUCUCACAAAUCUUAUAUUUCUUGAUGUAAGUAAUAAUAGUCUUAGUGGAAAUAUUCAGAGUGACUUGUGGAAAUAUAACCAUCAUCCUACUUUGGAAUACAUCGAUUUUAGUGGGAACCAUUUUACAGGUAUAUUUUUUCUCUAUAGAUCUUUUCCUUUUGUCAUAUGUAACUAAGCUAGUAAUCUGAUUAUUGCAGUUUUACUGAAGUUUCAACAAUCUUGACAGGUGAGCUUCCAACAACAAUUUGCAAUGUCAUGUCCCUUUCGGUUCUUGAUUUGUCAAAUAAUGAAUUAAGUGGUGCACUUCCAAACUGUUUCGGGAAUCUUGCUGAUGGAUUGCUUUACAUUAAUCUUGCUAAUAAUCAGUUUCGAGGAACAAUACCAACUACUUUCUCCAGGAGUUGUCAGCUGACAUAUCUAAACAUGGAUAAUAAUGAGUUUGAAGGAUUGUUGCCCCCAUCUUUGGCGAACUGUAAGCACUUGAGAAUUCUUGAUAUUGGCAAUAAUAAAAUAGGUGGUACAUUUCCGUCAUGGCUUUAUGUACUUGGAGAGCUAGAAGUCCUUGUCUUGCGAUCAAAUAAACUCUAUGGUACAAUAAGUGGAAGGAGCAUAGAAGAUCCCUUCCCCAAGUUGCGGAUUGUGGAUCUGUCCAACAAUCAAUUCACAGGCCAUUUGCCAAUUCAAUACUUUAAGAAUAUGAAAUCAACUGAUAAUUUGUAUCGUUAUCAGAAUUCCACAGGAGUUUUUUCUUUCCAUUAUGAAGCAUCUGUCUCAUUAACUGUGAAGGGAACAGAGUAUGAAGUGAAAAAUAUCCUUCAUAUUUACACAGCCAUUGAUCUGUCCUGCAACAAGUUUCAAGGAGAAAUUCCUGACGUUAUUGGAGAGCUUAGAUGGCUUGCAUUGCUCAACUUAUCUCAUAAUAGUCUGACAGGACCUAUCCCAUCAUUACUGCGAAAUAUGAAAGGACUCCAAUCUUUAGAUUUGUCCUCAAAUCAACUGACAGGGGCUAUUCCACCUCAGAUAACUGCACUGACAUUUCUAGAAGUCUUAAACCUCUCGGGAAACCAUCUUAGUGGAGAGAUUCCUCAGAAAGGACAAUUCAGCACAUUCAACAAUGAUUCUUAUAUAGGAAACUCCGCAUUAUGUGGAUCACCAUUGACGAAGACAUGUGCAAACACAGCAUCACCUCCACAAGAAGUCGGAAAUGUUGAUGAAGAUGAUGCGGGUGAUGAAUUGACAUGGGAAGCAAUCUUGAUGGGAUAUGGAUGUGGACUGAUAUGUGGAUUGUCAUCUGCAUACAUUGUUCUCAAACUAGGAAAGCCUUGGUGGUUUGUGAGAUAUCUCGAAGUACUGCAACAGAAGUUGAUGAAAAGAUAUGCAUGAAGAAUGGUACUGGCCGAUCAAGACCAACUUGAAAGUUUGUUGUCCUUGUGCACAUUUCUGAACCAGUAGUGUACUUGCUGCAUAAGUAUUUGGUAUUAUGUAAUAAUCCGUUUGGUCGGGACUCAUAAUGAUUUCUCUUGCUUCAGGGGUAUUAAUAUUAACCUUGCUAUCUUGAUCAAUGUUAAAGCAAAUUAAAUGAAUGAAAAAACAAAAAGUAUGCAUCAAAUCCGCUCCUGCUGUACCAAAAUCCAUUAAAUUGCUUUGGUCUCUUACCUAACAAUUUAACAGCACACUUCCACACUGUUCAUACCUAAUUUGCGUGUAAUAUGAAAACUAAGAGGCAUGGCUUUUGUCUCUAUAAGUCUUUGAGAACUUAUUCUUCCAAGUCUUCUUCGGAGGCCUGCUGCCUCAACAACCUUUCAAAGAUGUAGCAGUUGCUCGAGAGUAACAUAUAUAUUAGAUAAAGACUAUGCAAUAAUCCACGUGACAGAAAAACCAAAGUCCAAUUAGUUUUCCAAGUUCAUAAAAAAUACUAUAGGAUCAUUAGCAUUACAUUAGUAUUCCACUAGCAUACAGCAUAUUAUAAGACAAAAGUAAGCGGAAAUAAACAUAAUUUCAAUAGAUUUAACUUACUCUUCAGAAUCGAUAAGUUUGGAACACGUUGAUUGAGCACAAGACGAAGGCCACACAUGCGCAUCAUCUGAUGCAGCUAUAUAUGGUGCCUUUACAGUUGCUCAUACAUAUAGUGAAACAAUAAGGAUCAACUCCUCCAUUGUACGUACACAUUUUCAUACAAGCUAUAAAGCAUGGUGAUAGAGUCUUUGCAAUCUCGUCAUGACCGGCACAUCCGAUUAUGAUAAACUCUAGCAGGAUCAUCCAAGUAAUAAUUUUCAUAAUGAUAUUAAUUAUCAUUGUGAAUAGUUGCAUUGAGUUAUAUAUGUGUGUGUAUAUAUAUGCAAUGGAUUUUGUGGUUGAGAAUAUCUAUUAGAUUUUGUAUAUCCAUAACAAUUAUUAAAAUUUAAACAAGAAUAUCUAUUAUUGGUUGUGGUUGACUAUUGUAGUAGUCCAAGAAAUCAAUGCAAGUGAAAUCUAUAUUAUAUUUUAAAAGAUUAUACAUGAAAUACAAAAGGUUUUUUUAGGACUGCUGUUAAAAAUUGUUAUGUUGUACGAAAAAAUGCUGAUAAAAAGAGUGUUAUACGAAAAAAUGCUGAUAAAAAAAAUGUCGUAUAAAUCAGAUAUGACAGCUUCCCACAAAAACUAAAAAAAACAGUUUUCCGUAAUAAUAUGGGAGAGGAAAAACUGUUUGUAGAUUUAUAGAACAAUUUUUCGGUAAAAAACUGUUGUUGUUUUCGAGAGUAAUGACAAACAGUGCCGAAAUCAUUUUGCAGGUAGUUAAUCUCACUUCCAUAUAAUAUACUCCUAUAUAUUACCGAAAAAACAUGAAAUGAUGCAAACCUCAUACUAUUGACAACAGCUAAACUCCUUGCAAUACUUUCAGCUGCAAAAUCCAUCAAAUUUUUUGAUUUAUCAUGUAACUGUUUGACAGAGUACUUCCAAGCCUAAGUAUCAAAAAUCACUACCUUACGAAAUAUAUCUCACCCUACCUUCUCUGCUUAACUGUUUCGAGUGCUUUUACCAAGCAUAUUUUCCAUUAAGCGUGAAAGGCACAGAAUAAUUAGGAUCACCGAAUAUCCCAUCAGUGCUGGGGAAUAUGGAACCAUCUUAUCAAUUAACUAGUUUAACAUUUCUUGCGGUCUUGAACCUCUCAGAAAACCAUCUUAUCCUAAUGUGCCGACUUCCUUUGACGGAGAAAUGGUGAUGCUGAUGCUAAUGAUAAUGAACUCAACUGGGGAGUGAUCCUUAUGGGAUACGGAUGUGGAUUGAUAUGCGGAUUUUCUUUGGGGUUUAUAUUUUGUGGUUUGUGAGAUACAUUGAAGUACUGCAGCUGGAGUUGAUCAUUAUAAAGAACAUAGGCAAGUUAAUCGCUUAUUGAAAUUAGUAAUUGUCAAAAGUAAAAUGUUGAAAUUACUUUUUUCGAUUGAAAUCAUUGAAAAAAAGUCUCUGUCGAAAUUGAUCUGCCAAAAUUAUGUUUAAUAUCUACGGCCAAGAUUAUCUGUCGAAUAUAUUUCCCGACAAUUUUAAAAGACAAAUUUUUCGCCUCUCAGCUGUGAGCGGGAACAGAUAUUUUCGACAGAAUUCCAUUGAAAUUAGCUAAUUUCAACAUAAAUUUUCUAUCGAAAUUACUUGAGUUCUUUGUAGCUUGUUUUCACAAAUACGCUGAUAGCCUUUGGGGACGGGUAUAUUGUUUUCACAAAGCCCUGGUGGUAUGUGAGAUGCUUCGAAGGACUGCAACUGAAGUCGAUAAGAACAUGCAGAAAGAAAACCGAUCCAUCUUGAUAAACUUGAAAAAUGUUGUCAUAUGGUGAUAUAUACUCCCUGGCCCCAGUCUCUUGGAAAGAACUUGGUUGAUUUUUUUUUUUCAGUAUUGUUGGAGCUGUCAUACUAGUGCUAGUGUGCCGACUAGCACUAGUAUGACAGCUCCAACAAGUAUCCAUCCCUAAUAAUUGCAGCAAAUUAAAAAAUAUAGCUAUAUCUUUUUAGCAAUGGUGCAAUUUGGAAAGCUUUCUCAUCAUCUUCUUCUUUUCUUUAUCUCAUUACUCUCAUCUAGUUCCACUGUCCUAUCUGCAACAAUUCGCGAAGGAGAAGCUCUUGUGGAAUGGAAGAACAGCCUAUCCCCGAAUUCAUUUCUUGGUUCUUGGUCACUAAUUAAUCUCACUUAUCUUUGUAAUUAAGUGGACUGGCAUUGUAUGCAACUCUGCAGGUUCAGUCAGUCAGAUUAAUCUUCAAGAACUCACACUUGCUAACCUCCGUUUCUUUUCGUUUCCAAAUCUCACCAAUCUCAACAUUACACAUAACAACUUCACUGGUCCAAUACCACCCGAGACUUUAGCUAUAGUAAUCUCAAUGGUACCCUUCCAUACCAGGUCAGCCAUCUUCAGAGGUCGGUCGUCUUAGGCCUCUAAUUUAAUCACUUGAAAGCUCUAAGCUUGUCCAAUUUUUCCCCCAUGCCUAUACUGGUUGGUCGCGGUCUUGGUGGUAAUAAGCUGGCGUCAAUUUUUCCAGAAUUCAUAUCUAAUUGCUAUAACAUGAUUAACCUUGAUCUUUCAUUUAACAUGUUAACUGGUGAUCCCUUCAACAACUUGCGAAUCUUGGAUCUCUUCGACAAUGAAUUCACUGGUUACUUGCCAAUCCAAUAUUUUAAUAAUAUGAAACCAGUUAAUACCGUGAUUGAUUAUUACAACAUAACAGUGAAUCAUGAUUAUCAAGCAUGUCUUGUUAACAUUUUGCACUCGUAUUAAUUGUCUUAUAUAUGACUAACUCAUCUUGCACUCGUAUUAAUUGUCUUAUAUAAUACUAAUAACAAAAAUAUGAGGCGGUGCUUAGUCAGAUGAUUUUAGUUGUUAAAAUAUUUUUGUGUUAUUUAUAGAUAGUGAAACAUGUCUAAUAUUUUAUCAAUUUUGUUUCGUUUCUUGAGAUUUCCAAAUAUUUAUUGGGACAUUGUACCAUGGUGUAUUUCACAUAUUCGCAAUUUUAAUUAUUUUGUAUUUUUAUUUUAAAGAUAUGAUAAAGUUUAUUUAUUUAUUUGUUUUUAUCUUAAAAGCGAUUUUCGAGUGUUGCUUAAACCUCGAAGAUUCCAAUCGAGUUUUAUUCUCGGAUCUGUUUCGGAAUUGAGCUUGGCCUUGAUUGUUUUCUGAAUAAAUCAGAUCUUUUGAAAUCAAAGGUUCGAUUGUGUUUUCCCGUCUCGCCUUUUGGCGUGUGUUGAUUUAGUACCCAAUUUUUGGGUGAUUCUGCGUUGUUAUAUUUGUGGUUGUUAUGUCUUUCUGUGUUAUCAAUGAGAAUGAUUGGGAUGGAGUUUUGGGAGAUUUGGCUUAUCGCAUCAUUACAUCUUUCGGCAUGUCUAUAGCUGGCUCCCGGCAUGUAGAUAGCUGGGGUAUGCUUGGAACGGUGGCGAUCGCAUGUGCUCACCUGUCACAAAUUAUAGUUGUUCAUUAUUCGAGGGCUCUUGUUCCUCGUUGCUUAGUUUUUACAACUGAGUCGUCUGAACACCGCAACAGCCAUGGAACUAUUGUGAAGGUCAAUUGUGAAGCUAUCAUUUUCGAGAUUGAUGUAGGCUGGAUUACUCGAGAAGCUUUUGUAUUCAUUUUCAGUUUCAAGAAUUCUUGAAUUCAGUGUGUUAAGCAGUCUGGAAACAAUGCGGCUAUUUGAUUAGCUCGUUUUAUUGUUUAUCAACCUGAUUGCAUUGUCAGUUGGGGAUUUGUCCCGAUUAAACUUGUUUUAAUAUAAUGGAAUGAAUUUGCAUUUUGUCAAAAAAAAAAAAAAAAAGCGAUUUUGAGUUGUUUGAGUUAGAUAUAUACUCCUACUGUGGUUCAACUAGUUUUGCCAUAAGUGAAUAACUUCCGGUCAAUAUUUUGAAAUUUGUCGUUAUCUUCUAAUUAAAAUAAAGGGUUAAAUAGCUACUUCAUCAUUAAUAUCGUUGAAAAUUUGCAGCUGAGUCAUGUUGUUGAAAAGACUUUCAAACUGCAUCAUUAAGUAAUUAAAAAAUUUCAAAAACACCACUCUCCGUCAGUUAUGUUAAACAAUUAACGGAAAGUUCGAAAAAAAAUAAAGAAAAGACAAAAAAACAUUAAAAAAAUUUGAAAAAAAAACCCGAAAAAAUGUGAAUAAACUAUGAUAUUUUUUUUCUUUUUUUGAAAAAUGUGAAUAAAAUCAAAAAAUCAAAAAAAAUGGGAAACCAAAAGUGGCAAGCUUUUUUUUUUUUUGUUCCUUUCAAAUUUUCUAAAAUCUGGGGAAAAAAGAACUUGCCAACUAAUUUUUUCCAAAUUUUUUCAAAUUCUUUUCAGAUUUUUGAAUUUUUUUCCAAUUUUUUCCUCACUUUUUUUCUGUUUUUUUUUGAAUUUAUUAAGAUUUUUUUUGUUUUUUCUGCUUAUUCUGAAUUUUUUAAGAUUUAUUCGCAUUUUUAAAAAAUAUUUUUGAAUUAUCCGUUAAGUAAUUAAUGGAACUGACGGAGAGUGAUGCUUUUGAAAGUUUUUAAUUACUUGAUAAUGCGUUUGAAAAUUUUUUCAACAACAUGACUCAGUUGCAAGUUUCCGGCGAGGUUAGUAAUGAAUUAGUUAUUUAACUCUUAAUAAAAAUCUAUCUAAACAAUAUUAUAAAUAUAAUGUUAUGGGUUCGAUGAGUCGUGUAAAACAUGGAAGAAGUUUAGGUGGGGUAAAAAGAGCCUAGCUGUGUGAUUUCCAUUCUGUUAUACGUGAUAUACUGUAGUUGAUCAUCUCCUUUGUCCGCUUCAUCCUGUGCAACCUUAACCUUUAAGGAAAAACUUAUGAGAUUCUCUAGUGCAUCUAAAUUCUUGUGUGAAGAAUGUGAAGAAAAAUGUUAGUCUCAGAUUAUUUUUCCUAAAAUGCUUGCAUGUUACAUUUUAUAUGUAUGUCCUGACUUUAAGUAUAAUUUAGCAUUUUUAUUUAGUAUUGUGUAAAAAUAAUAUAUUUUAUUCAGUCUUAUUAAAAAUAUAAUCAUGUUAUACUGUAAAAGUAUUUGUGAAUUUCUUUGUUACAUAUGUGUUUAAAUUAUUUUAUUUAUAUAUGUUUUACAAUUUUUUACAAAUAUAUAGGUUGAGUAUUGCAUAGGAAUAUAAUUACACGUUAGCAAAUAUGAUUAUGUGUAAACUGUUCUGCGUGCAUGUAUAUUGCUGCUAAGUUUUAAACUUCUUACUAACCGGAAUAAUUUUGACAGAUGUGUGGAACUUGAUUAAUUUAGUUGCACUAUAAGAGAAAGCGUUUUUGUCAAUAAAAAUUGUUAAGGAAAUUAGUCCGUUGGUAGUUCUCAACGGAUUUGUAACAAUUUGACUGGUCAAUGUUCUGUCAACCAAUUCGUAAUGAAAUACCCACACUUAUUUACAACGAGAUGUUCUAUUAGGAAAUAUAGCCACACAAUGGAAUAAUAACAAAAGACCAAGGAAUGAGCAACAGACUAGCAACGAAAGUAUCUGUUAUUACAUUCGUUGAUAUUCCCUUGAUAAAUACUAGACUUUUUAGCACUUUGGUGGCUUGUACUAUUUCAAAUUUGCACGUUAGUGGCCGACCUUUAAAAGUCAUCAAUUGUGUUGCUGAACUUAUUUUUUUUUAACACAUUAGGGGCUCCGCAUCAUAUCCGUUAAAUCGAAGUAACGGCGUCAAAUGAUCAAUACAUAUCUCCUCCUCCUCUUAUUUCCCUCCAAAUUAAAAAACGAAACGGCUACCCUCUUUUCCGAAGCAAGAACGACGACGAAUUCCUGCUUACAGAGAUGAGUUGGUUCCGGCGUCUUAAAGAGGAUGCUGAUGUGUAUUAGCCUCGACAGUGCCCCGAUUACUGUAGUAAGCUCUUCAACUUUUCUUCUUUGUAGCAUAUGAAAUGAGUUUAAUUGACCAUUAUUUCAGUGUUUGUUGUUGUUAGUGGCUAGUUGUUUAGUAUUAUGGACCUGCAAUUGCUUUAUACUAUUAAAAUGAAAGAUUCUGCUUGUGGGUUUUUAAAAAUUAAGGCUUUUACAUAGUCCAAGAUUCGGUCAUUAUAAAAUCAAUUUAUGCCUGUUUUAGUAUAGUGCUUGUUGUUAGUGGCUAUUUGUUAAGUAUAGUGUUGUUUAUUGUAAAUAAAACUGUUGCUUUGCACUCUACAUUUGCAGAACCUGGUGAUUUUACCCUAAAAAUAUAUCAUGGGGCCGAUUGGGUAGAUAACCCUAGGGCAUAUGUGGGAGGUACAGUAGAUUUCUUUGACUUCUGUAAUGCUGAUCAGAUCAGCAUAAUUGAGAUAUAUAGUAUGUUGAAAGAGGUUGAUGAGUUUGGGUUUCACCAACUGUGGUAUAAGCUACCUGGCACUACAUUCGAUAGAGCUUUUGUACUAAAUAAUGAUGAGGAGCUAAUGACCAUGUGUGAGCUUAUAUCUGAUGUGGAUAAGUAUAUGGAGAUUUAUGUCACCACUAUGGCACAUCUAAGUAUAGUGCCCUAUAGAGAUUUAGAGGUUGAAUUUGUUGAACCAACUCCUAAAGAAGCACCUGAAAAGAACAAUCCAUCACCUGAAAAGAUCAAUCCAGCACCUGAAAAGAUCAAUCCAGCACCUGCAAAGAUGUAUCCAGCACCUGCAAAGAGCAUUCCAACUGUGGGAAAUGAUGAUGAUCAGGAAGAGUUUGAGUUUGAUUUUGACAAUACACGGUUUUGGGAUACCACCCAAAAUGAAAUUGAAAUUGUGCAACAAGUUAGGGAAAUGGAGGGGUUGGAAGAGGAAUUUUCAGACACAGAUUCUGAUGAUGAGGAUUUUGUGCCAGAAGAAAAGGAAAGUAGUGAUGAGACCUUCCACUGUGAUAGUUCCAAUCAAGAUAAUUCUGAUGAUGAUUUGUUGUUUGAUGAUGAUUACUACCAUCCUUACCAGCAGAUGGAAACCAACAAAGAAAAAUAUACAACAACAACAACACAGCAAGAAUUUUCCAGUUCCUUGCUUGCUUCUGCGCCUCGGAUAGUUCUUCACUGUAGAAAUCCUUGUACUCAUCUUUGGCCUUAAUCAUUUCAGCAAAACAUUCAUCGUCCUUGUUCUUCAAACGCCUUAUCAGUCCAUUGAUUACACUCUUGCUGCGCGCAUCAAACUCGGGUUCAACCCACUUGAAGAAAUUGCACCUUCCAUUCACGCAAGUCAAGAAUCUUCUACCCGGAUUGUACUCCGUCCACGAUGUCUUCUCCACUGCCCAGCUUCCACACAUACAUUGUUGAUUCAUCUUUGCAGAGCUUUUUGGUUUGGAUGAGAGAUUUAGGUUUGAAUAUGCUCAAUUACACACAGCAGAAACGUAUAUAUAUACACAGCAUAUAGCCGUUGCAAAAAUAUUUUCCUGAAAUACCCCUGACGACCGUUACUUCGAUUUAAUGGAUAUGAUGCGGAGCCCCUAAUGUGUUAAAAAAAAAAUAAGUUCAGCAACACAAUUGAUGACUUUUAAAGGUCGGUCACUAACGUGCAAAUUUGAAAUAAUACAAGCCAUCAAAGUGCCAAAAAGUCUAAAUACUAACAGUUUCGUUAGUAAUUGAUUAUUAGUUUUACAUGGACAAUUGAUAUACACCACAUGAGCACAUACACGGAUACAAUGCCAGGCUCUUAGUUGAAAUGUGUGUACUGCUAAAGCUCAAGGAGAUUUAGUUGACUAAAUUGAUUUGAGUUGUAGAAAAAGGUUUAAUAAUAUAAUGGACUUUGAUAUAUGUAUUGUAGAUAUUAAGUAAUUCUCUUGAAUUUAUAUAUGUAACAUAAUUGUUAAUUGGCUCAUCCUUAACUAGAUAUUUUAUAUUACAUUCUUAACUACAGAUUUUGUAUUUAAAAUUUUUUUAAAAAAUUAACCUUUAUUUGGUAUGUGGAUUUUGUAGUCAAAUGUGGUCAAUUUACUUAGCCUUCGAUCGAAUACCUACCCAAAACAUAAAAAUAUUUUUUAAUCAUUUAUUUUCGACGAUCCAACUAUACGGAUAUUAUUGUAAUGUGAUAAUAUUGUUUACAAAUUUUUUUUAAAAAAAUUAGCCUUUUAUUUGGUAUGCGCAUUUUGUAGUCAAAUGCAAUUAAAUUACUUAGUCUUUAGUGGAAUCUUUACCCGAAACAUAAAACUUUUUUUUAAAAAAAAAUUUGGACAAUCCAACCGUACAGAUGUUAUUGUAACGUGUUAAUAUUGGUUAAAAUAAAUUUUGAGAAAAUAUGUCUUUUAUUUGGUGUGUGGAUUUUGUGGUCAAAUGCGGUCAAAUUACUUAGCAUUUAAUCGAAUACUUACCCAAAACAUGAAACUAUUUUUUUUAAAAAAUAAUUUCGGACGAUCCAACCGUACGGGGGUAUUGUAACACAAUAAUAUUGAUUAAUUUUUUUAUAGGAAAAUUAUAGCCUUUUAUUUGUUGUGUGGAUUUUGUUGUCAAAUGCAGUCAAAUUACUUAGCCUUUAAUGAAAUACUUACAUUAAACAUGAAUUUAUUUUUUUUUAAAAAUCAUUUGGAUGAUCCAAUCGUACGGAUGUUAUUAUGACAUGUUAAUUGAUUAAAAAAAUAUUUAAAAAAAAUGCCUUUUAUUUAGUAUGUGGAUUUUGUAGUAAAUGCUACUUAGCCUUUAAUCGAAUACUUACCCGAAACAUGAAACUAUUUUUCUAAAAAUCAUUUUGGACAAUCCAACCGUACGGAUGUUAUUGUAACAUGAUAAUAUUGAUUGUUUUUUUAUAUAAUAACCUUUUAUUUGGUGUGUGGAUUUUGUAGUAAAAUGCGGUCAAAUUACUUAGCUUUUAAUCGAAUACUUACCUGAAACAUGAAACUAUUUUUAAUAAAAUUAUUUUAGAUGAUCCAACCAUACAGAUGCUAUUGUAACGUGAUAAUUGAUUAUUUUUUAAAAAAAUUAGCCUUUAAUAUGGUGUAUGGAUUUUAUAGUAAAAUGAGGUCAAAUUACUUAGUCUUUAAUGGAAUAUUUAUUAGAAAUAUAUUUUAAAAAAUUAUUUUGGACGAUCCAAACUGUAUGAAUGUUAUUUUAACAUGUUAAUAUUGAUUAAAAUUGUUUUUAAAAAAAAAUUAGUUGUAUUUUAUGUGUGAAUUUUUAGUCAAAUACGAUAAAAUAUUUAUUUAGCUUGUAAUGAAAUAUUAAAACCCUACUUCAAAAGAAACUUGUCUAAAACUACCUAUAAGUGUUAGAGAAUCAUCGAUUUAGUUAUCAAAUUAGUUAUCAUAAGGGUUUUACUCCGCUUUUCUCUGGUAUGAUGUUGAUUUUUGGGGUUUGAUUGGUCGAUUUUCAUGUUUUAUAAGUUAUGUGAGUUCGAUUUUGAUGUUUUUACAAUUAGGUUUAUGUAUGUUCUUAUACAGGUUUCAUGUUCAUGUUUUGAUUUGUUGAUUUCCUAUUUUUCAUAUUUUGUUGAUUAGUUAUUUGUGUGGGUUUUGAACUUUGAUGAGUGUGUAUGUAAUCUCCUGUUUUUUUUUUUCAUUUUUCUGGUUCGAACACUUCGAUUAGUAGCUGGAAAAACAGCUGAUGCGGCAGUAGCGGCUAGUGAGAUGGAUAACAAGAAAAGGAUGAUUUCGAGGUCAUCUCGUGCAAGUCUUCAGAUAUAGUUUUGUUCCUUUAUGUUUUUAAUUGACAUAAAUUUUCACAUUUGAUGAUUAUAUUAUGGGGGAUUCUGGGUAUACUUGUAUAUAAUCUAGCAAGUUAUUAUAAUUCUGGACGGGGGGCUUAUUGUGAAAUUAAAUUGAGGGAUAAGUUGUGUUAUUGGUUCUAGUGGAUUAAAUUUAUGUUGACACUUGAUAUAUGCAUUGAUGUCGUAAAAUAAGUUGCACAUCAAACUAUUUGGCUUGUUUAAGUUGUAUGGAGUAAGGCUGUACGCGGAUCGGAUCGGUUCGGUUGGAGGGUAAUAACCAAACCAAACCGCAACUUACGGUUUUCUAAAAUCUCAAACCGCGACCAUACUGUUGGUUAAAAAAACCCAACCAAAUCCAUCCACGUAAUUGCGGUUGGUUGCGGUUCAACUGCUAAAAUAGUUAUAACAAAGAAAAUAUAUAAGUUAUUGCUUAAAAUCUUGCAUAAAGUACAGACUUUAACUCAAAAAUAUAUAAUUUAUCACUUAAAAUCUUGAAUAAAGUUAAUACAAUAAAUCUGAUUACAUAUUACAAAAGCAAACUACUCCGGAAAUAUAUAACUUGAAGCAGAGCUUCAAGUUAAUGGUUAUUAAAAAUUUCAUCCGCGACUGCCCACAUUUUACGGUUAUCCAUAAUACACGGAUCGGUUGCAGGUGGUUGUUGCGGUUAAUGCGGUGGAGCGGAUUGAACGUACAGCCCUAUGAAGUAUGGUUGCCAAGCAUUGGUUGGUUGUACACGUGUAAACAAAAUGAUAUUUUAAUAUUUAAACAAAACAAUACAGUCAUAAACAGAUCGUGUCGGGCUGGACUGAUUGUGAUUUUCCUUUUUGGAACUCGUACUCGGCAUCUUCCAAGCGAAUGAUAUUUAGAAGUUUGUUGCUAGUAUACUCCAUGUCAUAAUAAGAGUUCUUUAGAUUUUUUAUAUGUAAUUCGAAGUAUAAAAAACAUAUUUUAACAUAUUAUUUUUAAAUUUUUUAUACAUAAAAAUAUAACAUCUAUAUUUUUAUUUAGAAAAAAAUUUGAAAUAUAAUAUAUAGAUGCAUGUCUUUUUUAUACGUGAAAUUACAUGUAAAAAAUUAAAAGACUCUUAUUUUGAGUAAGAGAGAAUAUGAUGUACCAUAAAGUCAUCGAUCUUUUGUUAUCAAAUAAAUGUGAUAUUUAAUUAUUUAAGAGCAAGUCCAAAAGUAUCUUAGUUAAAGUCCUAAAUAUAAUAUAAAAUAUUACGUUCUGGUGAUUUAGGAUAUAUUUUACUAACUUGGACUCCAACAAUGUGUCUUAUUCUCAUAAGAAGUUUAAUAUUUUAUUAUUAAAGACUCUCUUUCAUCAUUAAAGCAUAAUAUAAAAGUAGAGAGAGAAAAAGAGUGUUGAUAAGAAUUAAUAAUAAAAUAUGGGAUAGGGUUAGGAGAGAUGUGCCUCAAAAAUAGGGUUUGAGGAGUUUCAUUAGGUGUGGACACGGAGACCAAGAAGUAAAAGAUGAGUACAGUUAAAUGAAGAUGUGGUAAAAUAAUGUGACCCAUUUAUAUUUAAUAAUACAUUUGAAAUAGUGGAGGAAAGUAACGAGUGUAAUAACGUUUAUAUUAUUAUAGCAUAUAGAUAGCAGAAGAAAGCAAUGGGUAUAAAAGUGUAUUAUAUUAUUAAAGUUUUGAAAUGUUUAGAAAUAAUGGGGCAAUCAAAAAGAAAACUGUAUAAAAAUGGACGAGAGAAUACAAUUCAAGAAGUAAUAUAUCUCAAUUCAAACUAGGUAAUAUAUUUAUGAAUUAUAUUAAAAAAAAUUUGACAUUCAAAUAUAAAAAUUUAUUUUAUCAUCUUAACAAUGGAAUAUUCGAUUAUUAACUUUCGUAAAUAACAUUAAUUUUUCAUUAUAAUAUACUCUAAACUUUUAUUUUAUGUGCCUGUUUGUUUACAAGAAGCUGGAGUCCUACUUCUCUUGACUCGUUUGUGUAAAAACGUAAAAAGUGCUUUUAAAAAGUACUGAGAAGGAAAUGGAAGUAGAAAAUGCUAGUUUUUCUUUAUAAUAUCUAUUUCUUUUCUAGACACUUUAAUAAUUUAUAUAUAUUAAUUUAUUUCUCACUUAUACUCCAUUUUUUUAUAGAGAACUUCUUUUAAACUAAUCGGCUCCUAUAAUCAGUAGUUUCUCAAUUUUAAUAGGAAUAAGAGCAUGUUUAUCUGAGCUUAAAGCCCGGGGUUUAUAUCAUCUCUGGCUUUAAGCUGAAAAAUGUAUGUUUGUGUAUUAAGUCGGAAGUCGGCUUAAAGUCGGAAAUAAGUCAAAAAUUGACCUAAAACCAGAAGUUAGUUUGAGAUACUUUUCUCGGUGACUAAUUUUUUUUUUAGCCAUUUUUUGAUAAAAAUUAUUCCUAAAUCACAAAUUACUCAUAAAUUACUUUUAUUAUUAUUAUUAUUAUAUUUUUAAUAACUUAUAAAUUAUUAAUAAAUCAAAAUUAAUCAAACAAAUAUUUUAAGUUCUCAUAUUAUGAGAUAACUAACGUUAAGUCAUGAAUCAACUGAACGGGAUGUAAGUCUUCUUCUCCCCGAGUCAUCAGCAGACUUUUUCCAUGUCUUCUGAGCCCCCAUUGGCUCACAAUUGGCCCAAAAAAUAUUUGGUUAUGCAUUGCUAUUCACACACUUAGACAUCAAAAUUUAUCAUCCGACAGGCGACAGCUAACUGCACACUAUUUUUCCCACAAGCUGAAAAAUCAACGAUCAAUUAAUUUUUCUUAUCAAUUAAUAAAGUUAUGAUUUCACGUACACGGCAGGCAAAAUGCUAAUAAAUAGACGAGUGCAGUAUAGUAUGGGUUCAUGAUCACCUUGAGAUUUAAUUGAAAAAUAUUAUGGUGAUAUAGAUUAAAUUAAAUUAUAAUAUCUUGAAAAGUUAUAAAUAAUUUUAAUUACUAAUAAUAUUUAUUUGUACAUUUAAAUAUUUUUAUAAAAACACAAAAAUAGCAUUAUACUCAUUUAAGUUUCUCGUAUCCGCCUCUCUUCUUGGAGAUUGUGGAUUUGCGAUAUUUAUAUUGAUUAUUAUAGGAAAAUGUUAUUUCCAGAGCAAACAUUUUUAUUUCCGGAGCAAAUUCAAACAAAUUUUUCCAAAUUGUUCUGGAAAUUAAAAUAUUGAUAUGGAUAUAACAAUUCCCUUAUUAUAUCCUAUGUAUAUUACAUUAAUGCAAUUAACAUGGUUGAUUGUUUUAGUAUAUAAUCAUAUUACUGUGACCUUUUAGUAUAUAAUUAUAUUAUUUUUGUUAUAUUUUAUGCAUCUAGAAACAAUUUUUUUAUGAUAUUUAUUAUAUUAAUUAUAGUAAAAGAUAUAAUUUUGUUUAAAAAAUUGAAUAAAACUAAGAGGGAUAGCCUACGUCUCUCCGAGUCUUCGAGGACUCAUUCCAAGUCCGAGAGGACCACAGCCUCAACCUUUAAGAGAUGUGAAAGUAGCUUGAGAGUGAUAUAAAUUUAUUUUUGACAAUAAAAUUUAAUAAUCAAAUAAAUUAAAUUAAAUUAAACUAGUUUAUAAUCGAUUAAAAAUAUAUAAAUCAAAAUUAUUCCCGAAUUAUGAUAACAAUUAAAAUCAUUUUAAAAGUUGCAUAAAUCAAAUCCAAAUCGAACAAAUUCCCCUAACACUAAAAUGUAGUUGCUUUAUUGUAGAUAAAAACAGUAUAAUAAUAGUAUUGAUGAAAAAUCAAAUUCAUCAAAUAAGUUUAUAAAAAAUACAUGAUUUUAAUUUUAAAAAAAAAACAUGAUUUUAGUGUGUUGUAUUAGUAGUGUGUCCACGCAUUUAUAUAUUAAAAUCUAUCCUCUAAAAACUAUCGAUCUAUUUACACAACUAUUGAUCUGUCGUGCAACAAAUUCCAGGGCGAAGUUCCAAAGAGAGCUUAAAUGGCUUGCAUUGCUCAAUCUAUCUCAUAAUAGUCUUAACGACAUAUGUUCUGAAUUAUUAUUAUGAUUUCAACAAUAUUUUCAAACAUUUCUUAAUAUGUAUUUUCAAAGAAUUCUCAAGCACUUGAACAUUUGGACCGGUUCUUUCGAAGCCAGGCAAUGCACAAAAAUGUCCAAAAAUGAAUAAAUUAAGAGAGAGUAGCUCACCCUUUCAAAGCCUUCCAGGACUCAUUCCAAGUCUUCGGAGGACCACUGCCUCCCCCUUUCAAAGAUGUGAUAGUAGCUCGAGAGUGAUAUAAAUUAUUUUCCCGACAUUAAAAAUAAAAAAUCAGAUUAAAUUAAUCAAUAAUAACUUAAGGAUGAAAUCCAAAUUAAUCCUAAAUUUUGAUAAUAUAUAAAAAUUAUAAUUAUAAAUUAUAUAACCAAAUCAGAAUUGAAUUAACUUACUUGGCACUAGAAUUGCUAAAGACAGUAUAAUAAUUUAAUUGAUGAAAAGUCAAAGUCUUCUAAUAAAUCCAUAAAGAAUAUGAUAAUAUGAAAAUUAUAAUUGAAAAAUCAAAAUCAAUAGUGUAUUGGAAUAGUGUUCACACACUUAUAUAUCAAAAUUUGUGGUCCAAAAACUAUAGCACAAUAUCCUAAAUACAUCACAUUAAAUAAUAGCACAAAAAUAUUCAAUAAAUAAUUGAUUUCAUUCAUAAAUUUGUUAUUUUAAAAACUAAUAAUUUGGUUGAUGUUAACCUAUAUUUUAUAUAUAAUUUCGUCUUAUUUUAUUUUACUAGAAACAAUAUUUUUAUAAUAUUUAUUACAUUAAAUAUAUUAAAAGAUAUAAUUUUAUUAAAAAAAUUGAAUAAAAUUAAAAGGAUAAGUCUCGGCCUCUCCAAGUCUACAAGACUCAUUUCAAGUCCACCGAGGGCCUCAACCAUUGAGAGAUGUGAAAGUAGCUUGAGAGUGAUAUAAAUUAAUUAAAUUAGUUAAUAAUGAAUCAAGACUAAUCAUGAAUUAUGAUAAUAAUUAAAUAAAUUAUAAAAUUAAAUUAUACAAAUAACACUAAACCUUAGUUACUUUAUUGGUAAAUAAAUAUAAUAUAAUAAUCAAAUUGAUGAAAAAUCAAAAUCAUUUAAUAAAUUCACAAAAAAUAUAUGAUCAUUAGUAUGUUAUAUUAGUAUCCACACACUUAUAUUUCAAAAUCUAUCCUCCAAACUUAUCAUCUCUGUAAACUAGCCACAUAAAAUAAAAAUUUAAAGAUAUUAGAUAUUUAGUUAUUUUCAUUAUAUAAUUUUUCCACACGAAAUAACAAAAUAUCUUUAUCAAAUUAUUAUUUAUGAGUUAAAUAUUCAAUUUAUAAAUCCAGUAUGCAGCGUAUAAAUAGAAGUGUGCAGUAUGAUAUCAGAUUCACAUAACCCAGUUGAUGAGGAGAAACAUGGCAUACUCUGCAAAGCCUUCUCACCUUCUUCUCUUUGUUUUCUUUCUCUCAUCACUUGAAUCCAUUCUUGCAACAACACGAGAGGGAGAAGCUCUUGUGAAGUGGAAGAAUAGCCUAGCCCCUUCUUCUUUUCUCGACUCUUGGUCACUCACCAAUCUCGAUAAUCUUUGUAACUGGACUGGCAUUACUUGUAACUCUGCAGGUUCAGUCUCUGAGAUUAACCUUAGUGAGAAACAACUUGAUGGAAUGCUGUCCGAGUUUGGUUUCACUUCAUUUCCAAAUCUCAACAAUCUCACCCUCGCAUACAACUUCUUCUCGGGUCCAAUACCGCCAGCCAUUGAGAAUUUAACACAGCUUCAAUACCUUGAUUUAAGCUUUAAUUAUCUCGAUGGUCCCAUUCCGUUCCAGGUUAGCCAUCUUCAGAGGUUGCUCAUCUUAAACCUGUCACAGAAUGCAUUGCAAGCUCCAAAUUGGUCCCAUUUCUCUCCCAUGCCUUUCUUGCGCAUCCUCGACCUUAAUAGCAAUCAUCUUGCGUCGAACUUCCCAGAAUUUAUAUCCAAUUCUCAUAGCUUGGCUAUCCUUGACCUUGGAUAUAACAACUUUACAGGUGACCUUGUGCGUGAAUUUACUAAUCUACAAAAUCUUGAAACCCUCUACCUAGAUGAAAAUUCUUUUGAGGGGCCAUUUCCGCCGGAUGUAUUCAGGCUUUCCAAAUUAAAACAUCUUCGCCUGUCAGGUAACAAAUUCUCAGGUUCAAUUCCCAAUGACAUAAGGUUGCUUUGUGAUCUUGAAUCCCUAUAUUUAAGCAACAAUUCCUUUAAAGGACCCCUUCCAUCAAAUAUAUUCAAGCUUUCAAAAAUAAAACAUCUUGUUCUUUGGAGUAAUAAGUUUUCUGGUUCUGUUUCCAAUGAUAUAGGUUUACUUUCUGAGCUUGAAACCCUCGAUCUUAACUCUAAUUUUUUUGAGGGGCCGCUUCCGUCAAAUAUAUUCAAGCUCUCCAAACUAAGGUAUCUUUCCCUUUGGGGUAAUAACGUUUCAGGUUCUAUUUCCAAUGAUAUAGGUUUGCUUUCUGAGCUUGAAACCCUCGAUCUUAACUCUAAUAUUUUUGUGGGGCCGCUUCCGCCAAAUUUAUUCAAGCUCUCCAAACUAAAGAUUCUUUCCCUUUAUAAAAAUAACUUUUCAGGUUUUAUUUCUAAGGAUAUAGGUUUGCUUUUUGAACUUGAAACCCUCUAUCUUGGCUCUAAUUUUUUUGAGGGGCCGCUUCCCCCACAUGUAUUUAGGCUCUCCAAAUUAAGAGAUUUGGGUCUCAGAGACAAUAGAAAUUUAUUUCAAGGAAGUAUUCCUAUUGGACUGGGACUCUUGACUAAUCUCAGGUACUUGAGUCUAUUUUCCAAUGAUCUCAGUGGCUAUAUUCCAUCUGAGAUUGGAAACCUGAAGCUACUAAAAGUUCUUGAACUCGGUUCUAAUCAAUUGACAGGACCGCUUUUAAAGAUAGUUUCUAAUCUCAAAAAUCUUAUAUAUCUUGGUGUAAGUGGUAAUAGUCUUAGUGGAAAUAUUCAGAGUGACUUGUGGAAAUAUAACGAUCAUCCAACUUUGGAAUACAUCAAUUUAAGUGGGAACCAUUUUACGGGUAUAGUUUCUCUCUAUAGAUCUUUGUCAUAUGUAACUAAGCUAGUAAUCUGAUUAUUGCCUUUUCACCAAAGUUUCAACAAUCUUGACAGGUGAGCUUCCAACAACAAUUUGCAAUGUCACAUCCCUUUUGCUUCUUGAUUUGUCAAAUAAUGAAUUAAGUGGUGCACUUCCAAACUGUUUCGGAAAUCUUGCUGAUAGAUUGCUUUACGUUAAUCUUGCUAAUAAUCAGUUUCGAGGAACAAUACCAACUACUUUCUCCAGGAGUUGUCAGCUGAAAUAUCUAAACAUGGAUAAUAAUGAGUUUGAAGGAUUGUUGCCCCCGUCUUUGGAAAACUGUAAGCACUUGAGAAUUCUUGAUAUUGGCAAUAAUAAAAUAGGUGGUACAUUUCCGUCAUGGCUUUAUGUACUUGGAGAGCUAGAAGUCCUUGUCUUGCAAUCAAAUAAACUCUAUGGUACAAUAAGUGGAAGGAGCAUAGAAGAUCCCUUCCGCAAGUUGCGGAUUGUGGAUCUGUCCAACAACCACUUCACAGGCCAUUUGCCAAUUCAAUACUUUAAGAAUAUGAAAUCAACUGAUAAUUUGUAUAGUUAUCAGCUUUCCACAGCAGUUUUUUCUUUCCAUUAUGAAGCAGCAGUCUCAUUAAUUGUGAAGGGAACAGAGUAUGAAGUAGCAAAUAACCUUCAUAUUUACACAGCCAUUGAUCUGUCGUGCAACAAAUUUCAGGGAGAAAUUCCAAAGGUUACUGGAGAGCUUAAAUGGCUGGCAUUGCUCAACUUAUCUCAUAAUAGUCUAACAGGACCUAUCCCGUCAUUGCUGAGAAAUAUGAAAGAACUCCAAUCUUUAGAUUUGUCCUCAAAUCAACUGACGGGGGCUAUUCCACCUCAGUUAACUGCGCUGACAUUUCUAGAGGUCUUAAACCUCUCGGGAAACCAUCUUAGUGGAGAGAUUCCUCAGAAAGGACAAUUCAGCACAUUCAACAAUGAUUCGUAUCUAGGAAACUCCGCUUUAUGUGGAUCACCAUUGACGAAGAAAUGUGCAAACACAGCAUCACCUCCACAAGAAGUCGGAAAUGUUGAUGAAGAUUAUGCGGGUGAUGAAUUGACAUGGGAAGCAAUCAUGAUCGGAUAUGGAUGUCGACUGAUAUGUGGAUUGUCAUCUGCAUACAUUGUUCUCAAACUAGGAAAGCCUUGGUAGUUUGUGAGAUAUGUCGAAGUACUGCAACAGAAGUUGAUGAAAAGAUGCUUGAAGAAAGGUACUGGUCGACCAAUAAGAACUUGAAAGUUGUUGUCCUGGUAGACAUUUCUGAACCAGUAGUAUUUGGUAUUAUGUGAUAUUCUGUUUGGUCCGGACUCAUAACGAUUUCGCUUGCUUCAGGAGUAUUAAUAUUAACCUUCCUAUCUUGAUCAAUGUUAAUGCAAAUUAAAAUGAAAAGGCAAAAAAUAUGCAUCAAAUCCCCUCCUGUUGUACCAAGAUUCAUUAAUUAAGAGGCAUGGCUUUUGUCUCUCCAAGUCUUCGAGAAAUUAUUCCAAGUCUUCUUUGGAGGCCUACUGCCUCAACAACCUUUCAAAGAUGUAGCAGUUGCUCGACAGUGAUAUAUAUAUUAGAUAAAGACUAUGCAACAACCAACGUGACAGAAAAAUCAAAAUAGGACAAAAUCCGUACGAAUCAAAAUAGUUUAUUUCUAAGGGGAAUAGCUGAAUUAAAUUGUAAGAGAAGUAAAACAGAUUCUUUUAUAUUUUGGAAUAUAACUGAAAAAGAUUUUGAGAUAAUUUUCAGAAAUCAAACCAGUCAAAUAAAUAUUCGCUGAAGGAACAGAGUAAAGAUACAACGAAUAUAACAAGUUGUAAGAUGAAUAUCGCUGAAUCAAACAGGGUAGAACCCGUACAAAAACGCCAAACAGAAAGGAUCAAAACAGAGUAAUCAAAUUUACCUAACACUAAUAGAAGUAGUGCUGAAUAAAAGAGAACGAAAUCUGUACCUUAAAAAUAGCAAACGCAAACACUAACCAACCUCACAAGGGACCAUCUAAACUCCCUAACCCCGACUUUAUCUUAAACUCCAAAUAUCUCCCUGACUCCAAUAUGCCCAGAACAAUAAACGAAUGUUUUGACCUUCUAAACGAUGUUUUCUGGAAUAACGCAAAACACGAAAAUCGUAGAGAACGAAAAGACCUUUCCGAAAAGGUAAGGCUCGUCAAGAACGGAGUCAUAACGAAUCGGGAAUUAAAUAAAACGUCCGCUGAUUCAGAACUCAAAGCGAGAACAGGAUCUGAUUAAGUUUUGUAAUUUUGAGAACAGUUUGAAACAUAAUCUGAGAAAACAUUAUAAACGAAAGUAUAUGAGAUUGAAAGAGCUUUCCGAAACAUCAAGAAUCAUCAAAUUCCGAUAAGAAUUGAAUUUUCUACGAAUUUUACAAGACAGCUGAUUUGUGAGAAUAAAGCCCUACGAAUUUUUGUCAUAAAAAUGAAGAGAAGGUUGAGUAGCUCUCAAAAGUAUAUAAAAAGAAUGAGAGAACAAAUCAAUAUACUCCCUUUGUCCCUCUCGUUUAUUUACAGUGUUUGACACGCAUUUUAAAGCGCAUAUAAAACAUAGUUCUAUGAUUUAUUUUCAAAAUUUUUCUUUUUUGUAUAAAAAUUUAAACAUCAAAUUUUUAUCUAGAAAAAAAGGAAGUUCAAAAUAAUUUAUUGAACUACGUUUUACGAGAGCAUUAGAAUGCGUGCCGAGCCCCCGUCCCCCAAUGUAAACAAAUGAGAGGGACGGAAGGAGUAUAUAUACAGAGUCUUGAGACCCUAAUUCUAAACCUAUCCAUUAUCUGAAUGCAAGGCUGAUCUAUAUUUUAAGUACACUAUCCUAAUUCAAUUUUAAAUCCUAUUCAUAAUCUAAUUUUAAUCCUUUAUUAUUAUUACUAACCAAUUAAUAUUAUUUUAAAAAAAUACUGGAUAUUACAUUCCUGAUCAGACUAGUGAUCGGAUUGCAACCGCAAAGCAGCCUAUAUAUAGUGACAAUUAAAUACACAACAAAACAACUUCUUUCUUCUCUCUUGGGUUAUAAUACUCAGACGGACAAGCUAUAUCUGAGGCGAUUUUCUGGGCGAUUAAACACACAAUAAAAGCAGCUUCUUCUUCUUCAAUUAAGGUUUAUUCUACACCCAAUCACAUACACACACACACUUUAAUAUGACUAGUGAGUUCAAUUUUUGGUGGUAUUAUAUGAUUAUCAUGUUCUCUUUUUAAAUAUUAGUAACGUUAUUUUCGGAGUGGACUCUGUUGAUGUUUAAAUUUGAUAUAGAUAUUGUAAUUGAAAAUUUAUGUUGAUUUGUUGUUCAGAUUUCAAGUAUUAAUUUGUGUGUGAUCAAAAUUUUGCUUCUACAUCGAUUAUCAGGAGGAAAUAUGAGGCCGAUCUUGAUCAAAGGACACGAAAGGCCAUUAACAUAUCUAAAGUAUAACAAGGAGGGUGACCUCCUCUUCUCCUGCGCAUUAGACAGAAACCCCGCUGUUUGGUACGCUGAUAAGGGAGAGCUUUUAGGCACUUACCGUGGGCACAUUGGUUCUGUUUGGGGUUGUGAUGUUUCUAGGGAUUCAAAACUUUUAAUAACUGCAAGUGCGGAUCAAACAGCAAAGGUAUGGGAUGUUCAAACUGGGUCUGAGCUGUUCACGUUUGAAUUUAAGUCCACUGUGAAAUCAGUAGAAUUUGGUGUCGGAGACAAGCUUGCUGUCAUUGCAACAGACUCCUUUCGUGACAUGUCUUCUGCAAUUCAUGUCAAACACAUAGCCAGAGAUCCUAGUGAACAGUGCGGUGAUUCUGUGAUUGAAUUCUCACCUGGAGGAAGAAUCAAUAGAGCUGUUUGGGGACCUUUAAAUAGGACCAUAAUAAGUGGUGGUGAACAAGGCGUUGUUCGUGUGUGGGACGUUGAGACAAAGAAAGUGAUUUAUGAGUCAGACAAGGAUACUGGUCAUCAGAAGGCCAUUACAUCACUUGCAAAAUCAAGAGACGGUUCACAUUUACUUACUGCUUCCAUUGACAAAUCAGCUAAGCUUUGGGACAUCAGAUCAAUGAAACUUCUCAGGACAUACAAGGCUGAAGCCCCAGUUAAUGCAGUUGCACUCUCUCCACUACUUGAUCAUGUCGUGCUCGGAGGUGGUCAAGAUGCAUCGACUGUUACAAACGAUCCUCGUGCUGGCAAGUUUGAGGCCAAAUUUUAUUCCAAGGUCCUUGAAGAAGAAAUUGGAUCUGUGAAAGGACACUUUGGUCCGAUAAAUGCAUUGGCAUUCAACCCUGAUGGAAAAAGUUUCGCAAGUGGAGGUGAAGAUGGUUAUUUGCGAUUACAUCACUUUGAUCAUGACUACUUCAACAUGGCGAUUUAAUUCGAAUUACUUACAUUGCUACGUCUUUUUUUUUUUUUUUCCGGUUUUAUUCAAGUUAUUUUCUGGUUUUUAUGUUGAUCUUAUGUUCUUUGUUAUAAAUAGAAGUGUGGUUCCUUUUAAAACUAUUUACAUAAGUUUUUGGCUUUUCAUGUAAUUUAAUCAAAGUAAAUGCCAUGAGAUCCUGAAUAUAUCUACUUAUCUAUCUAUCUACUUAUUAAAGCAGAAUCAGGGGAAAAAUAUACCAGAAAUUGGAUGAAAAAUUUACAUACACACCCUCAAUUAUUCAUCAAUUCCGAAAUUGGCCUGUAGUUUAGCUGUUAACUUGCAGGAUUUUUGUAAAAGUAGGAAUCAGCGAUUCUUAGGUACCCCAGUGACCCCGAAUCGGUUUCUCAGAUUCUUGGAAAUCCUCGGUCAGUUGAUUUAGAUUGUGGGCAUAUAUACACCUAUAGUCAGCCUCCGGCGGUGCAAUCUUUUGGUGGUGUUUUUCAGCCUUUUCUGCUAUAGCGAUUCUUGUUAAAACAUUCAGGUGCUAGGGUUGUUUUGUUGGUAAAGGGAAUUGGAUUGUUGUAUCUGCGGUUGUGGCAAAGGUAAUUUUCUUGCCCUUGCUAUUCUUUUGGGAUGUCUGAUUAUAAAUAGCCCUUCUAACUUUGUUCACCUGUUCUGUAUGAUGUGUGUCAUUUGUGAUUGAGUCGAGCAGUAUAUCAUUUUGAUGCAUAUUGUUAAUUUCACUCUGGGAAAUUUUUAUGCUGAUGUUUGGGCAAUUAAUUCUGGUUAUUUCGUUGAUUUUGUUUGUGGUUUGUUUCCACCUGCCAUUAGAACUGUAAAGUAAAGUGUAUUUAUUGAUCAUGAUUCAAGUGUUUGUAGAUAAUCGAUGUGGGUGACAAAGAAGCUGCAAAUGAUGAUGGUUCUUCACAAAUUUUAUCUGCUUUGCUUCCUUUUGUUGUGGCUCUCACCAUGGUUGUCAAGUCGACGACUGCUGUUGCUGCUCUUGCUCAGCCCUCAACUUUCACCUGGUAACAACUUUUGUAUGUUUGGUAAAAUAUUUUGAUUUUUUUUUUUUUGUAAGGGUAAAAUAUUUUGAUUGUGAUAAGCUAAUUUAUUGUUUUUUAAUGAUUCCAACACUACAACAGAUUUAGCAUCACACAACGGUUUUUGCCCGUUGUCUGAGACCACGGAAAACCGUGGUCUAUCGAGACGCCGUCUGAUAUGCGUAUCAGACAACGGUGCGCACCGUUGUGUGAUAGUGCUAAACACGAUGGUUUACGUUAAAAAAAUUGUUGUGCAACACCCAGAACCAACAACGUUUACUCUUAAACGUGGUGUUGUUAGAAACACUCCUUAACAAUAGUCGAUUUCAAAAAUGGUGUUGUUAGAGAGACUAUCCACAACAGUUUUAUUAGCUCGCAAGACUUGUUGGAAAGAUGAUCAUACAACAGUAGUUGAAAUAGAGAAGCUCGUUCUUUCCUCUCUUGUACAACGGGUUUCGAACACCAAGCCACUUGUGUAAGGCCCCUUCUAACAAUGUUUUAAUUAGUGAGGUUGUUGUGUUUAGUUACGUCAGACAAUGGUUUUCUUUCAUAGUUGGUUGUCGUUUACAUGUUUUAACAAUUGUUUCUGUUUCAUCAUUAUUGCAAGUCAUUUGUUUGGACAAUGGUUUUGUGACAAUAAAUCAUUGUUUCCAGUUUUAUGAGACAAUGUUUUUAAUGAAUAAUGAUUAUUGUAUCAUGUUCAGUAUGACAAUGGCCCUGUAUUAUCCCAUUACCUAAAUACAUAAUAGACAAUGAUUAACAUAACUCGAUUAAACUAAGCUAGAGAAUGUAAUUAAAAAGCCAAAAAUUUGUAAACAAAAAAUUUCAUUAUGCACUAAUAACCAUUGUUACAACCAAAUCAUAUAUACCAUCCAAUAUCCAGAAAUAUUUCCCCCGAGGAUGGCAAAUCUCAAAAAUAUAAAUACCUACAAUAAAUGGUAGCAUCUAGAGAGGCAUAUGUGACUACAAGAGUCUUUUGUGAGCUUUUCAACUACCCAGCCCAGGAACAAUCCUCUGAUUGCAUUCUUUUGAUUCGGAUGGAGCCCUCCUGCUAUCUCUUUUGGAAGUGACUCUACUGCAACCACCUGUAAUACAUAAAAAAGUUCUUGAUAUGCUUUUCGUACAAAGAAAUUAAUGUGGUUGAGGAGUAUGUUUCGAGUUCAAAAUAUACCAGUGUGCCAUCUUCCAUGGUUUCACGUCAUUCAUACACAAUAAAUUGUAGCAAUUGUGAGCCCUAUCAACAUACCAGUCUUUCUGUAUUUAGAGUUGGAGCAGCUAAGCCAAAAUCAGACAAAUGGGGAUUGAGUUCAUCAAGUAAAAUAUUUGCUGACUUUAAGGUACUAUUAACAACAUAAGGAACAACAUCAGCAUCUUGCUUCUAUCAUCAGUGAAGUAUAAAAACUCUUGCAAGCUACUAUUUGCAAUAUAAUCAUGGACCAGAAGACGUACCAUGUUCAGCGGAAUAUCAUUCAAAUCUCUGGCAUGGUUGUUGUGAUGGAUAAAAAUAAGUUCCUUUAUGACCUGAAUUAAACAUUAAAAGAUACCAAAUUAACCGAAAUGCGUAGAGAUGCACAAAAAGUCCAGGCCCGAAAAUAUGGUCAUAGAGAUUUAAAAAAAGUCGAAAAUAAAGACAAACCAUGUGAGUAAAAAGCAGAGUAAGGAGGAUUGAUGGUAGUGUUUGAUAUAGAUGCCAUGUGGGUAGAUCCAUAUGAGCUGCUGGAAGCAGAGAGAUUUCUUCCAAACUCUCUUACAUUAUUGACAACAUUUGUGUUAACAUAUAUGUGUUGUAUAUGAAAUUUUAAAGAUUAGAUACAUAAAUAUAAUAUUAUUCGGAAAAUAUAACAUACCAUCUCGAGUCAUUUUCUUGCUUGGUCAUUAAAAUAACCUACAGCAAGUAAUGUACCCUCACUCUAUAAGAAGAAGAUGGACAAAAAGAAGUCAGUUGUAUGGAUGCCUCGGAAUAUAUACAAGAAUGUCCCAGGGAUAUUUAUUCAGUUGAUGAAGCAUGUAUAUCUAGAAAUUAACAAACCUCAUCAGCCAAAACAAAUAUAAAAUUAAUAAAAUCAUCUGUCUCCAAACACACAGAUUAAAAUCAAAGCACAAAUGUUAUCACACAAAACCAAGACAACACAAGAUCCAUCACUAAAACACACAACUACUACUAAAAUCAAACACACAAACAAAAAUCUCAUAUAGAUUCAAACUUUAUCCCCAAAAUCAAGUAUAAUUACACAGUAAAAAGCAUUCGUUUACCUCUUCAUAAGGUGAAUUGUUGUUAAACUAAUCAGCACGGUCAACACCGGCAUCAAAAACUUGAAUGGCCUUUGGGGUUAUCGCCGACAGAACAGAUCUGAGUAAGCUUUGUAGAAAAUGAGAUAGAGACGGGGGAGGGAGGGGAGAGUUCAGAGGAGGGUGAGGGAGAGACAGAGGGCGAGAGGGAGGGGAGGGGCGAGAUGCUUUAACAAAUCAAUUGCGGCAAGAGUGGGGAAGACACAGCCGCACCAGAAGAGGAAGAGAUAGAUUCAGAAGAAGAGAGAUUUACUCUCACUUACAAAUUUUAGGUCAAAAUAGAGGGGGGGAAAUGAAAAUUUGGAUAAACAAGUAGAGAGGGAAUUGAAAAUUUUUGUAAGGUGGAAAUCAUUCGUUCAUCCCGUGUAAAUAACAAAAUCAAUGUAUUAUAAUAUCCAUAUAGUUGAAUUAUAAAUAAAUGAAUUUUUUAAAUUAUAUUUUUGUAUUUGAUUACAAAUAUUUCAUAUUAAAUAAAUUUUAAAAACAAUUUUAAUGUAGAUGUCAAUAUCUAAUUAUUUUAGUUAUUUGUGAAAAUCUUCAAAAAAUUAAAAAUUAAUCUGGUAAAUCUUUUUGACAAAAUAUAGUUGAAAUACAACUAUUUAAUAAAAAAUUAAUAAUUCUUUAAAAGUUAAAAUUCUCAUUUUCUCGAUGUAUUCCGUUUUUGUACUCUUUGUCUAAAUAAAAUAUACACAAAUUUUUAUUAUUCAUUUGUAAUAAGAAGAUAUUUGUGUGGUUCAAAUGUCAAUAUUAGUAUAAAUUUCAUAUUUACAAUAUAGGAUGUACUUAAUAGAAGUUUUGUGAUCUAUAUGAUUAACCCCGUAUUAAUUUUGAAAUAUUUUCGAUCAUCCAAACAUAUAAAGAUCUUAAUAUCUAUCAAUAUUAGUCAUGUAUAAUAUUUUUAAAUUUUUCUAUAUUUAUUUAUAUCUUGUUGUAACAAAACUAGUGAUGAUCGUUGUUUUUAUGUCAUUUCUUAUUUUUGUACUUUUUAUCAAAAAAUUAUAUUUAUAUUAUGCAUAUGUCCAAAUUUGUAUUAUUCAUUUGUAAUUGGAAGAUAAUUUUGUUGUUCGGACCUGAGUAUUACUAUGUGUUUUAUGUUCACAAUUUAGGAAGCACUAGAUAGAAUUUUUGUUAUCUACAAAAUUUGCUCUGAAUUAAUUUAUAAAUAUUUUUUUCGAUGAUAUAACCGUACGGAUGUUAAUAACUAACAAUAUUAGUCAUGCAUAAAAAAAUUAGAUUUUUUUAUGCUUAUUUUAUAUGCUUUUUUUACAAAACUAGUCAAUUGUAAAUUUUGUCUUAUUGUAAAAAGGUAAUUUUUGUCUUGUAGUGUCCAACAGACAACGGUACUUAUAGGCACGUGUGUUGUAUGAGUUAAAAUGACACAACUGUUAUGGACAUUAUACAGUCAUAACAAAAUCUAUUGUCUAAAAUAGGCUCAAACAAUGUUUCGGGAAAAACUCGUUGUGUGUAAGUAGUGUAGACAAUGGUUUCUGGGAGGCAAACCGUUGUAUAAUAAAUUUUCAUUUUUAAGAGUUAGAAAUUCACAUUUUCUUGAUUAGUUCUUGUUUUUGUACUCUUUGUCUUAACAAAUAUACUUAUAUUAUGUAUAUAUGCAAAUAUCAAUUGUCAUUUGUACUAUGAAGAUAAUUUUGUAGUUCGAACAUGAGUAUUGGUAUGUGUUUUAUAUUUACAAUUUAGAAAGUACUGAAUAGGAUCUUUGCUAUAUAUAAGAUUAGCUCCGUAUUAUUUUAUAAAUAUUGAUUUUGAUGAUCUAACCGUACGGAUGUCGAAAACUAACAAUAUUAGUCAUGUAUAAAAAAAAUCAAUUUUUUAUGUUUAUUUUGUAUGUUUUUUUUAACAAUACUAGUCAAUUGUAAAUUUUGUCUUACUGUAAAAAGGUAUUUUUUGUCAUGUAGUGUCUAACAUACAAUGGUUUUUAUAUGCACCUAUGUUGUAUAAUUGAAAAUGAUACAACUGUUACAGAAGUAUACCGUUCUAAGAAAAUCUAUUGUCUAAAUUAGGCUCAAACAACGGUUCACGGAAAAUCCGUUGUAAAAAAGUAGUGUAGACAACAGUUUAUGGGAAGGAAACCGUUGUAUAAUAAAUUUUCAUUUUUAUGAGUUAAAAAUUCGCAUUUCCUUGAUCAAUUCUUGAUCUAAUGCAAGAAAAACAUAUGACUAUCAAGAAAUUGAUUGUUUUGUUAUAACUUUGGUUAGGACUUUGAAUCUUUGCACUCUCUUAUGUACAUCCAUUUUCUUAAAAUUCAUUCAAUCAUACAACAUUUUAUUAGUUAGUAGAGGCUUGUCUAUAAUGCCAUGCUACAAUGCUAACAAAAACACUUGUAUGUUAGCUUCCCAGUCACACAACACUAUAUAAAACCCUUGUUUGAACUCCUCGUAAACAACACAACAAAUAAAACACUUGUCUAAUUACAACGACGGUUUCUUGAACUAUUGUCUGAAGUUUCUUCACACAUCGGCUCUCAAAACAGUUGUCUAACAUGCAUCAUUACACAAUACCACAGUUAAGAAACCAUUGUCUAAUUGAAUUUACUAGACAACAAUUUUUUAACCGUUGUAGGUCGUAGAUGUUAGACAAUAGUUUUUCGAGGCCGAAAAGAAAGUGUUGUGUCUUUUUUCCAAACAACGCUUUUUUCACCGUGCGUUGUCUGAUCAGUGUUGUCUAAUGGUGUUAUUGUUGUAGUGCAAGUUGGAUUUAUUUAAUGCUAAUAGGUACUUGUUCAAGUGAGGAGAUUUAACUGAGAUUCAGGUUCUGGCAUUUGUCUUGUGUUGUUAUUUGUUUAUGUACCGGUUUUGAGAGUCAUUAGAGAUAUGUAAGGUAUUUAUUCCUAUUUUUUAUUAUUAGUAUUACAUCGUUUUCGGGUAAAAUAAUCGAUGAUUGUUUGUUUUAACUGUGUAAUAGCCUUAUGAUCUGCCAACUUAUGUAGACAUGUGAUAAACAUGUUGACUGUGGUCAAUAUUUUAGAUGAGGUAGUGUGUUUGUUGUUAUUGCAAGACUUUUUGGAAUAAUCAUUGUCAAAAAGAACUAACGAUGAAUGGAAAUGAAGUUCUGAAGAAGUGAUGAUACAAUGUUAAAGAGAUUGCUUUUUGUUGAAUUUUUCUGACUCUGGAAUUAAACUGCGUUAGUAUCUUCUUCUCUGAUUUUCCUUAUUUGGUAGACCUACUACUUUCAGAAGAUACAUGUGGUAUUUGUUUGGUUGAUUAAUUUUGGUAAGAUACAGUUUCCGUUUGGAAUCAGACUAUCCAUUGAACAAUCAGACUAUCCAUUGAAGAUUUUAUGCUCGCUCUUAAAUGGUUGAUCCACUGAUCUUAUUCUUACUUCAUAUGAGCUAAAGCCAGCUCUAGGGGUGUUUCUCGCAUACAAAAAAAUUAAAAAAAAUAUUAUGAAACUAUACUUUGCAGGAGUCUCAAAAUAAAUAAGUGUAAACGAUAAACUUAAACACCUAACUUCUUAAACACCUAGCAUAACACGGGUGAGCAUAUGGUCAAUCAUACCAAAUUGAAUAAAUCGAAAUUAAAAUUUAAAUAUUUUUAGACUGGACCAAACUGAAAUAUUUUGUCCGAUCCAGUUCAGUAUGAUCGAAAAGAAUUGAUUCUUUUGGAAAAAGUAACUUAAUAUUAUAAAUAAAAUUAAGAUUUAUAAUUUAUUUAAAAACUAUCAAUGAAUCAUCAACACUUCUUCAAAAAUAGAUACAUUUGAAUUUAUACAUUAGAUAUUAUAACUUCUAAAAAGUAUAUAAAAAUAUAUAAUAUAAAUAUAAAUUUAUAGUAUAAUUUUUUUGACUAUUUAGAAUAUAUUUUUAACCCAAAUAUUUUUUUUUAAAAUCAAAUUUUAUUUCGAUGAACUUUUCUAGAAAAUUAAGAUAGAAACGAAACUCAUUCCUACAGUAAGGUUUCAGUUUUUCGGCUGCAAUACGGUUUUGCUCAUCAUUAGCAUAAAUGGAGUAUGUAGUAAAUAUGAAUGAAUGGCAUGGGAAUUCUUGGAAUGGUAUCAAGAAUUAAGAUUAAAGCACAUUAGAAGUUUAGAACCAUGAAUGUUAUUUUUGAAAAUAGUAAUCCCUCCGUUUCUUAUCACGUUUCUCGUUUGAUAUGUCGGAACGGUUCAUAAUAUGAGACAAAUUAGUAAUUUAUGUCCAAUUUAUAAAAUUAAAUAUAGUCAUGAGUGAUCUUGUUGGAUUCGUAUCUAUGAGUACUUUAAUAAGAUGAAAUUUUUAUAUUUAAUGUUAAUACAAAAUUAAAAUAUAUUAAUUAAAAAUAUAUAUUGACAAACGUGAUAAAAACAAACAGCAAAAAUAUUAAGAAACGAAGCGAGGGAGUAAUAAAUAUGCUUUAUGCUGAACUGAAUUGAGUGCGUGGAAGCUUGGGGAGGCAGCUUACUACAGUAUCUACGUGUAUCUGUAUAUGCAAUAAAGACACAAAUACUCACAGGAGAUUAUUUUUCAAACACUUAAUUUCCCCCUUUCCUUCUCGUAAUAUUCAACUCAAUUCAUCACAUCAUCUUCUUCAGACAAACAACUAUACUCACUUCAGAUCAUCACAUCAUCUUCUUCUUGACUUCAGAUCCACAUUUCAAACCCUAAUCAUUCGCUUGGUCCCCUCCCUCUCUGUAAUAAUACAAUUCUUUCUACACACAAACAAUAACAUCAUCAUCAUCGAGUGAAGCUUCAUAUCCACAUUCCAAGACCUAAUUACUCGCCAAACCACUCUCGCUCUCAUGGAGGAGGCCUUAGAAAUGGCGAGAUCGAAUGAUACCAAGAAGCGAAGGGCGGGAGUGGAUCGGCUGCAACAGCUUCUUGAAGAUUCAAGAAAGUGCUUGUCAUCGUCGGAAGUGACGGCGCUAGUCGACACGUGUCUUGAGCUUUUGAAGGACACGUGUGUUGCUGUCGUCGGCCGCGGAGUUGUUUAAGUUGCAUUCUGAUAGAAUUAUGACGGCGGUUGUUGAUAGGUUGUGGGAUGGGGAGCAGCGGGUUCGAGACUCGGCGAGGAGGCUGUUGAUUACCCUUAUGGAGGUAAUUUAUUAAUUUUCUUGGGGAAUGCCAGUUGAUUUUAUGGAAUGUGAUAUAGUAUAGUUUCUAUCAAUCGAGUAUCUUAAAUUGAUGACUACAACAAGUAUUAUCGUUUUGCACGCAAGUGGCUAAACUUUUAUGCAUGCCAAAUUGCCAAUCGGGUUUCAAUUUCAGAUCUCUGCCUUCACUUGCAUACGAACACAUUUGAGUUUAAAAAGAUGAAUCACCUCAUAAAUAUCAUUAAUAAUUAGUUGGUGUUAAUAGUGCACUGAAAAAUGGGAGAGAAUGACAAGACUAUAGACAGUAGUAGGGCUGAGCGAGAUGUUAAUUGAGUACUUAUAUGAUGCUUCACUAUGUUCAGGGAGUUAGUUUAUUGCUUCUUUCCUACACUUUCACUUGAAUUAGUACUAAUUAAUAAUUCCUUCUCUAUCUUGUAAAAUUUCUCCUUCAUUGCUAAGCAUAUCUACUCUGAUUAAUUUUCAAACAAACUUUACUACUGAGAUAGGAUUGUUUGCUGGGUAGGAGCACCAUAGAAUGAGUAGCUCUAUUGCUAUAUACUGAAGGGUGCGGUGGCAUCCUCGGUUAUAUUUUAAGUGCUACUUCGAAUUUAGUUGUUGGCUUUUGCAAUUUAUUUUCAUUCACAAUGUUUUAAUAAUGAUACCCCAUAUUAGGUGAGAGAUAUUAGUGCCAGGCUGGAGCAGAUUCAGAUUCAACCAGCAACUUCCGUCUCUUCCAUCUCUGAAGGACUUAAUAGUAAUCUUCUCCACCAUGCACCUGAUUUAGAAGUAUAAUGUAUUAAUGUGAACUUUUUAUUUAUAUUUAUUUCCAUGUGUAGUAAAACGAUCACAUCUUUUAAGAGCUUAGUACAAUGUUAUGUACAAUGUGUAAUUAAUUAAGAGGUUUGUACAUAGUUUAGUAUGAAAUGGAAAAAGUUUGUACAGAAGUUUAUUUGUUCACAUUACAGCUGAGACGAGCAAGCAAAAACCAUCAGAGAAUUCAAAGGAUAAUGAUAAAGGAAUUGAGCCCCUACUGGAACUGCCGGAAGAUAUUAUCUUUCUACAAAUUCUGCCUAAGUUGAACAGCCUAGAUGUUCUUCCCCUGGUUUUGGUGGCUAGGAGUUGGGCCUCCUUUCUUUUGCAUGAGGGACCCAGACUGAUGUUAUUCAACCCACCUAAAAAUCCUACACCUAAACACACUUCAAUUUUAUUUGAUGUAAGCCCGAUUCCGUACUCUGUUUCAGUUUUGUUAUCCCCAGAGAGCCGCCAACUGUGUCAGUCUAGGUGUAUAAUUGUUCCAAUCUUGAAUUCUGGUAUAAAACAUGCUGUUCCAAUUUUCACUGACUACCCAGAUUUUUUAAAGCAGGGGGAAGUCCCAACUGUAGUGGGAUCUUCCAGUGGUAUUAUAUGCCUCUAUAUCACCAGUUCUCCCUCUAGAUACAUCCUGCUAAACCCCUUAACAAAACAUUAUAAAGAGGUUGGGGCCCCUUAUAUUUUUGUACCAGAUUGUGAGCAAGCUUCUGUAACUUCUGGAUUCUUUUAUGAUGAAUGGACUGAUGACUUAAAGAUCGUACAAUUGUUGAGAUGGGAUCAAAGGCUUACGAGCUUGGAUGCUCCGGGACCCAAAAAGAUACAUGCGCUUCGCGUUUGUUCUGUAAAUUCUGCAAAUUGGGAAGUUGUUGACUUGGGGCCAAUGAAAGUCUCCGAUCGUCUUGGUGGUGUGUUAUUUUUGCCGAAAGCUCUCGUCACAUUUGUAGAUGCGUUUGCUACAGAGCCGGAGAUUAACUUUUGGUUGGAUUUUCGUGAUUGCCGUCUAAAGGCAGUUCCGGAAUUAGAAGGGGCUGAACUCAGUAUGAAAUCGGUUUGGUGGAAUAACCAGGUUGGUGUUAUUGUUGGAACUGACAGCAUUUAUGUCCUUGAUGAGGAGUUUGCAGCCUGGUAUUACUGCACAGUGCUUCCGGACGUGGGAAAUUGUGUAUUCUGUUUAGAUGAGAACAAAAUUGUGGGGAUGGGGGCUGGGGAAAGCGGAAGCGUAAAUGAUUACAAUAUUCUUAAUUCCACAAGCGGCGAAAUCCAACAUAUAAUCUCGUUGCCUUCUUGCAGGGUUUUUCCGUAUGUUCCUACAUUCUACUAUAUCGAGGGAAUGGCUAAUUUUUAGACUUUUGCAAGUCACAAUGUAAUAAAAGAAUGUAAACAGUACAUAGCAGCAAUACCUCUCUAUAGCAUAUAGUUUCAGAUACAACAUGUAUUGUGAUGCCAGCUUGUAGAGUACAAGUAUUAUUCUAGGUGAUUGAUUGUUGAGAAUAAUAGAGGCAACCGGUUGCAUGAUGGUAUCCUUGAAACUUUCAUAAUUACUAAUAUCGAACUCAGAUAGCAUGCAAUUUUUCCGGAGAUCAUAUUCUUUAGCUAUCAACUAACUCUACAUUAUAUAUUAUGUCCCAGAUCAAUGAGUUUGUUUGCUAUAAUGUCCUAUUUUAUAUGUGAUUUAGGAAUAUGUUCCAUUAACUUGUUAUCACCCUCAAAUCUAAAAUCUAAGACUACCAUGUCCUUAGUUUAUUUUGUUUAAUAUUUGUGAAUAGACUCUAAUCUGAUCAUAUCAAUUAUAUUUUAGUAACAGAUGUUUAAAUGCAUAUGUUUUUGUUAUCUAGUUAUUUCAAUGAUGAUGGGAUUAAAUUUUUUUAUUCUUGUAAUAUGUACAAUGAUUGGUUUAGCUUUAAUAUUUAUUUUUAUUUUUAUUUACCAAUUUUAAUGUAGGUAAAGUUUUAUCAGCAAAUUUUAUUUUUUGUAUGCAGUAAUCUGUUCUAAUAUCAAAUUUUGAUUUAGAUCGAGUAUUAGUAUGUUGAAUUUGCAUUCAUCUAGUUAGAUGAGUGAAACUGGCUAAUUAAUGGAAAAUCAUAAGUACCUGAGUUGUUUUCAAAUUUUUUUCCCAAAUUUUAAUUGUUUGAUUGGUUUCUUCAAAUUAAUAUUAAUGGAAUCAUGAACGCACAUAAAUAAUUUAAUUAAAAAUUAUUUAUUUAUGUGUCAUUUAGAAAAAAUUGGGGACAAAAUUUGGGAUAGUAAUGGGGACGAAAUAUGUGUUAGCGUUAAUGGUUUAGCGGCAGUGGAGAACGCAAUUUAAGAGCAAAUCCAAUAGUGUCCUAAACUAGUAUCCUAAAUUAAAAAUUAAGGUAUUUAUAUAAAUGAGUGCUCCACCUAAUGAGUGCUCCACCAAUGUCCAGUGAUACCUUAAAAUACUAGGAAAUCCAUCAAGCGUCUCGUUUUUAAGACAUCACUAGGCAUGCCCUAUUUCACUUCUAUCAAUAAAAUAUAUCUUUCCCUCGUUUUUUACAGAUCUCUUCUCUCUCAUUUUUUCCAUUUAUGCCCAAUUAUAAUUCAAAUAUAAUACACCUUCAGUCCCUUUUUAGUUGUGAAAUUUACAAAAAUAAUUUGUCCUUAAAUAAUAUUCUCAUCCUUGUUCCAAUACAUAUUUAUACAUAUUUUUUCAUGUUUACCCCUUGAUUGUUGGUUCAAAUGUUUGACUGUACUACUAAUAUAUACAGUUUUGACUUAGUAUUUAAUAUAAUAAAUAAGGGCAUGCGUGGAAACAACUUACAACAUUUAAUUUUCUUUAAUAUAUGUAUUUUUGCAAAUGUGACAACUAAAAAGGAACAGAGAGAGUAUUAUUUUAAUCAUAAAACAUAUUGUUGGAGUUAAUAUAAAAAAAUCAUGUCUUAAAUCAUAAGAUUACUAUAUUUAAUUAUAUUUAUAAGGCAUCUAAUAGUACAAUAUUGGAUUUGCUCUGAUCACAGAUCAAUCAAAUGAUCGGCAACUUAAGCGAUCAAAUGAGAUGACUCGCAUAGUCCACGCUAAUCGAUAUCCUUAAGAGGAUGUUUGCCUGGGCUUAAAGCCCUUGCUUUAAGCCAUCUUUGGCUUUAAGCUGAAAAAUGUCUGUUUGUGUAAUAAGUCAGAAGCCAGCCUAAAGUCAGAAAUAAGCCAGAAGCUGACUUAAAGCCAGAAGUUAAUUUGAGGUACUUUUUUCAGUGGCUAAAUUUUUUUGAACUUUUUUUUUGAUAAAAAUUACUCCUAAAUCAUAAGUUUCUUAUAAAUCACUUUUAUUUUUAUUAUUAUAUUUUUAAUAACUCAUAAGUCAUUCAUAAGCCAAAAUUACCCAAACAGACAUUUUAAGCUAUCAGCUUAUCAGAUAAGACACGUUAAGUCACAAGUCACAUUAAGUCAUAAGCCAUAAGCUCAGCCAAACGGGCAAGUUUUCUAAGAGACAUUCCUGCUUAGUGCAUUUUUAAUAGGGUUGCCUAAAUCGUUGACGAAAUUGGACAUGUGAGACAUUAUAUAAAAUUUGUUAAACAUGUAAGUGAUUGUGUUUCAAUAAUGUUAACUACAUUGAUAGAUUAUAACUUAAAAAUAGUAUGUUAUUAAUAUUUAGAUUGUUAUAAAAAAAUAUAUGAGUUUAAUAUGAUAGGAAAUGAUGUGUAAAUUACCCCGAUUAUAUAUAUAUAUAAAUAAUAAUAUAUUUAUAUAUAUUAUACUAAAUAUAUUAUUAAAAAUAGAUAAAUUUUAUAAUAUAAUCAAAAGUAAAAAAUAAUCUUUAUUUUUAUUGAUUGAUUAUAAAUAUAUUGUAAUAUAAUAUAUUUUAUAAUUUUAAAUUGUUGUUUAUUUAUAUUAUAAAUCAAUUUUAAUAUGAUUUGAGGUUGAAAAUAUAAGAUAAUAUUAUUUUAUUAUUAUAUUAGGAGUUUGUAGUUUGUUUUUUAAUUAAAAAAAUAUAUUAUAUAUUAUAAAAUUAUUAUGUUUUUAUUAAAAAAUAAAAUUCCCCGAAACCCCGCGGGGAUCCCCGUUCCCCGUUCGGGGCGGGGAUCGGGGCGGAAAAUAAUCCCCGUUCGAGGUUCGGGGCGGGGUCGGGUAGGGCCGUAGGGGUAUUGAAUUCGGGGAUCGGGGUCGGGGAUAGCACUCCCCGCCCUCGAAGUCUCCCCGUGCCCAUCCCUAGUCGAACCUCUAGAGGUCCGUAAAAAAUCUCCAAGAAGAUUACACUAUGUAAUCUUCUUGGAGAUUUUUUACGGACCUCUAGAGGUUCGACAAAUAUAGUGGCCGGUAGGAUGUUGGUUAAAAUUAUAGAUAAGUGGUGUCUAUGGUUGAGUGUGAUUUUUUUGAAUAGAAUGGCUAUAUAUUUUAUUUUUGGGAUGCCAACUCAAUUUUUAAACUAAGGACUUCUCAUAUUUGGAGAUGCUAUAUGAUGGCAAAUCCCGCAAAUCUUCAAUUUUGACAUAUAUUAUCCUAAAUUCUCUUUCAACAAUGAUUGAUUCAAAUUUGGAUCAAGAUUGUUGGAUCCCGCUGACGUGGCAGUGACGUCAUGUUGACGUGGCGCCCUGGGGUGGACCCCGGUGCUGACGUGGCAGAUGACGCGGCGGUGACAUGGCGCCUGGUUGGGGUCCCAUUACUAACGUGGCAUUUGGGUAGAAAGUAUAAAUUACGGAAAAUUGAUGACAAACUGAGAGGUGCAUAUUAUAAGUUUUAAAAAGUAUGAGGAGAUAUUUGAUCAGUUUAAAACUAGUUUUUAGGUUUUUAGGCUAACCGUGGUUUGUAUAUUCGAGCAUCCCCGUGUAUAUUGACAUAUAGGUAAACUCCUUGCAAUACUUUGAGCUGCAAAAUCCAUCAAAAUUUUGAUUUAUCAUGUAACUGUUUGACAGAGUACUUCCAACUUUCAAGCGUAAGUAUCAAAAUCACUACCUUCAUAUGUUCCAUUAAGCGUGAAAGGUACAGAAUAAGAAGUGAAAGAAAUCCUUUAUAUUUACACGGCCAUUGAUCUUAUAGGAUCACCUAGCCCAUCAGUGCUAGGGAAUACGGAACCAUCUUAUCAAUUAACGAAGAAAUGUAUGCAUGCAGUGUCACCACCACAAGUCAGAAAUGGUGAUGAUGCUAAUGAUAAUGAACUCAAUUGGGAGUGAUCCUAAUGGGAUAUGGAUGUGGAUUGGUAUGCGGAUUCUUUGGGGUUUAUUGUUCUUACAAUGGGAAAGCCUUGGUGGUUUAUGAGAUACAUUGAAGUAAGUUGAUAAUGACAUGCACGGCUUAAUUAAGAUUAAUUAAGACAAACACCUUGACAAAAUGUUGUCUUAGAAUGAUAUGUAUUCUGAUUUUUCCUAAUUUAAAAUCAAAUUUAUUACAAUUAAAGUUAAAAUCUGCGUAGCACAUACUAUACUUUGAUUAAAUUUUUAUUGAAGUUGUCCAUAUUAACCUAGUGGCCGAAAGUGAAUAAAUUAAAUUAGUGGGGUCUAAUAUAAAAAUUGCAUUAAUUAAAAUUUGUAAUGUAUAGAUUAUGCUAAAGCUAUUCAUUAUAAAGAACAUAGGAAUGUUAAUCUCUUUAUAUGUUUGCAUGCGGAUAGUCUCUCGGGAGUGUGGUAUAUUGUCAUGGCUGGAAAAACGGCUAAUUUCUACGGUUUUUUUUUGACAGAAAUUAAUUUUGACGGAAUACUGUCGAAAUAUCGAAAGUCGAAAAUAAGCCGCAAAAUUACUUUUUUCAAUUUUCAAUUGAAAACUGUCAAAAAAGUCUCUGGCAAAAUUAUAUUUAUUUCUACAGAUAAUGUCGAAAAUAUUUUCCUGCAAAUUUCCCGCACCUUAGUUGUGAGCGGAAAUAGAUAGUUUGGACAGAAUUCCGUCGAAAUUACGCGAGUUCUUUGUAGUGUGUUUUCACACAUACGCUGAUAAUCUUUGGGGACUGGGGUAUAUUGUUUUCGCAAAGCACUGGUAGUUUGUGAGCUUGUCCAAUUUUUCCCCCCAUGCCUAUACUGGUUGGUCUCAGUCUUAGUGGUAAUAAGCUGGCGUCAAAUUUUCCAGAAUUCAUAUAUAAUUGCUAUAACAUGAUCCGAUGCCUGAAUCAGCAGCUAACAAUUUACGUAAUCUUGAAGAACUAUAUCUUGGUGCCAAUUCUUUCGAGGGCUCAUUUCCAACGAAUAUAUUCAAGCUUUCCAAAUUAAGGGUUCUUGACCUAUCUGUGAAUAAUUUUUCAGGUUCCAUUCCCAAUGGUAUAGAGAUGCUUCCCGAUCUUGGAAUAAAUCGUAUUUAUAAUAAUUCAUUUGAAGGAAUUAUUCCUUCUUCAAUUAGUCUACUUAAAGAUCUUCAACACCUAGACUUCGGUGACGACAACCUUGUGGUUUCAAGUAUAAUGUCUUACGGGUCCAAUCUAACCGAUCAUUACAGGCAACCCCAUUGGAGAUGCUCUUAAUAACAUUUUAACUAGAGAGUAUUUUCUAUCAAUUGCAUUUGUAUUAAAUUUGAUUUAGAUGAAGAGAAACAGAAUACAUAUGAUCCCGAGACAACAUUUUGUCAAUGUUUUCGUCUUGAUUGAACAGUCUUCUUCAUGCGUGUCCUUGUCAACUUCAGUUGCAGUAAUUCAAUGUAUCUCAGGAACCACCUUGGCUUUCCCAUUUUGAUAACAAGUAUCCUGAAGAUAAUCCGCAUAUCAAUCCACAUCCGCGCGUAUCCCAGUUGAUUUAUUAAUUUAUUCAUGAAGUGUUGCGAACGACAUUCCUGCAAAAGUAAAAGUCAGUGGAAUUUGUAUGAUAGCAUGAUGAAUAUUUAAAGUUUCAGUUAAAAUUUCACCAAGUAUUUUAUUUCUGGCUUAAGUCCCGGAUUGACGAAUUCUGCUGAUCACAUUUCUAAUCGACCAAUUCUGGUCGAAUAAAUUAAAUGGCACACUUCCUGAGUUGGUGGUAGGGGCGUUCUUCUUGUGUUUCUUUCUUUUCAUUAUUGACAUUGUUAUCCAGGCCCUUGCUUCUGGGCUUUUGUAAAGCACCCAUUUACGCCAUUGUCAUGAUCAUAGCUAGUCUUCCAUAUCCAAGAUACGCGCAUUAUAGUGGAUUUAUCUUUAUUAGUGAUUUCUGUGGAAAUGCAUAAUCUUAAUUAUAAGCUCCAAUAUUAUAAAAUAAACCUAACUUAUUAGAGUUAACAGGGCAUUUGUGUUGAUAAUUUGCGCAAUGUUAAUGGGGAUCGCUCCCAAGUCUUGGACGGACUCUUUCCAAGUCUUCUGAGGACCCAUCUGCACACUAAUUUGUCCGCCAACUAAAAAUUUAUAUAUAUUUUUCCAUAGAAUAUAAAUAGUUGGGGGUACUAACAGAACCUCUAGUAAAAUUAAUUAAUACCGUUAUGAUUUCGCAAACACAGCAGACAGCAGGCAUAAGGCUUAUAAAUAGAAGUGUCGUAUUUGGUUGAUGGUCAAGUUGAGUGGAAAUAUGGCACACUUUGUAAAGCCUUGUUAUCCUCUUCUCUUUGUUUUCUUUCUCUCAUUACUUCAAUCCAUUCUAACAACACAAGAGGGAGAAGCUCUUGUGAAAUGGAAGAAUAGCCUAGCCCCUUCUUCUUUUCUCGACUCUUGGUCACUCACCAAUCUCGAUAAUCUUUGCAACUGGACUGGCAUUACUUGUAACUCUGCAGGUUCAGUCUCUGAGAUUAACCUUAGUGAGAAACAACUUGAUGGAAUGCUGUCCGAGUUUGGUUUCACUUCAUUUCCAAAUCUCAACAAUCUCACCCUCGCAAUUAACUACUUCUCGGGUCCAAUACCACCAGCCAUUGAGAAUUUAACACAGCUUCAAUAUCUUGAGUUGAGCAAUAAUUAUCUAGAUGGUCCCAUUCCUUUCCAGGUUAGCAAUCUUCAGAGGUUGCUCAUCUUAAACCUGUCAGAGAAUGAACUGCAAGCUCCAAAUUGGUCCAAUUUUUCCCCCAUGCCUUUUUUGACCAUCCUCGACCUUUAUAAAAAUAAUCUUUUGUCAGAAUUUCCCGAAUUUAUAUCUAACUCGUGUAACCUUACGUACCUUGACCUCUCAUCCAACAAGUUUAGAGGGGAUCUUGCGCGAGAAUCAGUAUUAACCAAUCUAGGUGAUCUUGAAACCCUCUAUCUUAUUAGAAAUUCUUUCAAGGGGUCAUUUCCGUCAGAUUUAUUCAAGCUUUCUAAAUUAAAACGUCUUCACCUGUCGAGCAACAAAUUUUCAGGUUCAAUUCCUAAUGCCAUAAGGUUGCUUUGUGAUCUUGAAUUCCUAUAUUUAGGCAACAAUUCCUUUGAAGGACUGCUUCCACCAAAUAUAUUUAAGCUUUCAAAAUUAAAACAUCUUGUUCUUCGGAGUAAUAAGUUUUCAGGAUCUGUUUCCAAUGAUAUAAAUUUGCUUCCUGAACUUGAAUAUCUCGAUCUUAAUUCUAAUUUUUUUGACGGGCCGCUUCCUCCAGAUGUAUUCAAGCUCUCCAAACUAAGGUUUCUUUACCUCUCGGGUAAUACCUUUUCACGUUCUGUUUCCAAUGAUAUAGGUUUGCUUUCUGAGCUUGAAACCCUCGAUCUUAACUCUAAUUUUUUGAGGGUCCGCUUCCGUCAAAUAUAUUCAAGCUCAAAUUAAAAAUUCUAGACCUCUCAAACAAUAGAAAUUUAUUUCAAAGAAGUUUUCCUAUUGGACUGGAACUCUUGAGUAACCUCAGCUACUUAGGUCUAAGUUCCAGUAAUCUCAGUGGCAAUAUUCCAUCUUACAUUGGAAACCUGAAGCUACUAAUAUCUCUUGAUCUCAGUUCUAAUCAAUUGACUGGACCGCUUUCAAAGCUCGUUUCUAAUGUCACAAAUCUUAUAUUUCUUGAUUUAAGAGAUAAUAGUCUUAGUGGAAAUAUUCAGACUGACUUGUGGAAAUAUAACGAUCAUCCAACUCUGGAAUACAUCAAUUUGAGUGGGAACUAUUUUACGGGUAUAGUUUUUCUCUAUAGAUCUUUUCUUUUGUCAUAUGUAACUAAGCUAGUAAUCUGAUUAAUUGCAGUUUUACCAAAGUUUCAACAAUCUUGACAGGUGAGCUUCCAACAACAAUUUGCAAUGUCACUUCCCUUUCGGUUCUUGAUUUGUCAAAUAAUAACUUAAGUGGUGCACUUCCAAAAUGUUACGGGAAUCUUGCUGAUGGAUUGCUUUACAUUAAUCUUGCGAAUAAUCACUUUCGAGGAACAAUACCCACUACUUUCUCCAGGAGUUGUCAGCUGAUAUAUCUGAACAUGGAUGAUAAUGAGUUUGAAGGAUUGAUGCCCCCAUCUUUGGCGAACUGUAAGCACUUGAAAAUUUUUGAUAUUGGCAAUAAUAAAAUAGGUGGUACAUUUCCGUCAUGGCUUUAUGCACUUGGAGAGCUAGAAGUCCUUGUCUUGCGAUCAAAUAAACUCUAUGGUACAAUAAGUGGAAGGAGCAUAGAAGAUCCCUUCCCCAAGUUGCGGAUUGUGGAUCUGUCCAACAAUCAAUUCACAGGCCAUUUGCCAAUUCAAUACUUUAAGAAUAUGAAAUCAACUGAUAAUUUGUAUCGUUAUCAGAAUGACACAGGAGUUUUUUCUUUCCAUUAUGAAGCAUCUGUCUCAUUAACUGUGAAGGGAACAGAGUAUGAAGUGAAAAAUAUCCUUCAUAUUUACACAACCAUUGAUCUGUCCUGCAACAAGUUUCAAGGAGAAAUUCCUGACGUUAUUGGAGAGCUUAGAUGGCUUGCAUUGCUGAACUUAUCUCAUAAUAGUCUAACAGGACAUAUCCCAUCAUUGCUGAGAAAUAUGAAAGGACUCCAAUCUUUAGAUUUGUCUUCAAAUCAACUGAAAGGGGCUAUUCCACUUCAGUUAACUGCAUUGACAUUUCUAGAGGUCUUGAACCUCUCGGGAAACCAUCUUAGUGGAGAGAUUCCUCAGAAAGGGCAGUUCAGCACAUUUAACAUUGAUUCUUAUCUAGGAAACUCCGCGUUAUGUGGUUCACCUUUGAUGAAGAAAUGUGCAAACACAGCAUCACCUCCACAAGAAGCCGGAAAUGGUGAUGAAGAUGAAGCUGGUGAUGAAUUGACAUGGGAAGCAAUCGUGAUGGGAUAUGGAUGUGGACUGAUAUGUGGAUUGUCAUCUGCAUACAUUGUUCUCAAACUAGGAAAGCCUUGGUGGUUUGUGAGAUAUAUCGAAGUACUGCAACAGAAGUUGAUGAAAAGAUAUGCAUGAAGAAAGGUACUGGUAGAUCAAGAUGAACUUGAAAGUUGUUGUCGUGGUAGACAUUUGUGAACCAGUAGUGUACUAGCUGCAUAAGUAUUUGGUAUUAUGUAAUAAUCCGUUUGGUCGGGACUCAAAAUGAUUUCUCUUGCUUCAGGGGUAUUAAUAUUAACCUUGCUAUCUUGAUCAAUGUUAGGGCAAAUUAAAAAGAAUAUAAAAGCAAAAAAUUUGCAUCAAACACCUGUUGUACCAACAUGCAUCCAUUAAUUUGCUUUCAUCUAUUAAGUAACAAUUUAAGAGCGCUUCCACUCUGUUUAAGCAUGGAGAUAACACAAAGAAGGCAAGUCCAUGGACUAAUAUAUUAACACGUAGUCCACAUCUAUGGUAUGAACAAUUCAUAUUGCUCUUCUAUCUGUUCAACAGUCUCCCGAAGAUAGGCCAAAAAUGUCAUCUGUGGUUCUUAUGUUUGUCAGUGAAGGAGAAUCUCUGAUGCCUACACAACCUGGUGUUUUUACAGAAAGGAAUGUAGGUGAAACCAGGGGCGUAAAAUGAAUCAGGACUAAAAUCUGCUAAAAUGAUAAUUAUUUACUCAUCAUUCAAGAUUAGUCGGGCUCAAAGAUUUAUAUGGAUUUUAAGAACAAACUAUGACUAAAUAUGAAAAAAUCAUUAAUUUUUCCGACUCAAUAUUUUUUAGCCUCCCCCGGCCCUGGGUGAAACCAUAAGCUUCUCUGGUGCACAUCCAAAUCAUUCAGUUGGUUCUACUUUCAGCUCACCCACAGGAACAUCAUUCUGCAGGUACUCUUUUAUCUGUACUUUCUUAUAUUGUAUGCCAGUAAAUUUUAUAUCGACAAACUGCACAAUACACCUCGAUCUCAUAUUAUUGACAGGUGAGCUCCUCUCAUAAUGCUCACAGGCGAACCCCUGCAUAUAUACUUUGUGAUGUCAUUGAUGAUCGAUAGACUUGAAAAAAAAUUAUGACAAAGAUUCAUAAAAUAUCUACUUCCAUCCUAAUUCAGUAUUCAAUAUUAUUCAUUCGUAUCAUCAUCCAAUCAAUUCUAAUAGUUCUUCUUUAAAUCAGUACAAAUAUUGUUAAAUACCUGGAUGAUGGUUGUCUUUCCGCGAACCAAUCAUGAAAUUACCUCUGUAUAAAUCCAUCGGAAAUAAGACAGUUAAUAUCCCAAUCGAAUACACCCCGUCAGUUGUCAAACUCCUCGAAACGUAUUAAUCACUUUAGAAAAUUUGUUCCACUGGCGCUAGUCAGUCCCAGAGUUGGUGGUGGGUGCUUCUGGGCUUUCGAAAAGCACCCAUUUACUCCAUUGUUUAGAGAAGUAAAACCCCACCUUCCGCUCAUUUGAUUGAUCAGCUGAAUUAGGCAGAGUUUACAUGGUCAUGAUCAUAGUCUCCCAUNUUAAUAGUCUGACAGGACCUAUCCCAACAUUGCUGAGAAAUAUGAAAUAACUCCAUUACUCCAAUCUUAGAUUUGUCCUCAAAUCAACUGACAGGGGCUAUUCCACCUCUGUUAACUGCAUUGACAUUACUUUUCUCUUUAUAUUCUUUCCUUUUGUAUGUACCUAUGCUAAUUAUCUGAUUAUUAAAAUUAUAACAAAGCUUCAAGAUUUUUAACAGGUGAGCUUCCACUAAAAAUUUGCAAAGUCACUUCCCUUUCGCGUCUCAUUAUGUUAGAUAAUGGGUCAAGUGGUGCACUUCCACAGUGUUUGGGGAACCUUUCUUUGCUUGGUUUCAAUAAUCUUGCUAAUUAUCAAUUUCAAGGACCAAUACCAACGACUGUCCAAGACUUGUCUGUGCAUAUCUAAACAUCCAUAACAAUCACUUUGAAGGUUUGUUGCUCCAAUCUUUGGCAAACUGUAAACACUUACAAAUUCUUGAUAUUGGAAACAACGUUGGAGAGCUAGAUGUCCCAGUUAGGGCGGUAAUUCGACUAGAGCAAACCGAGUUUUGAGCGGAGCCAAAUUCGAGCCAAGUUUAAUCGAGUCGAGCCGAGUCGGCUCGUUUAGCUAAUCGAGCCUAAAACUUAGCCCGAACUCGACUCAUUUAAUUUCACGAGUCGAGUCGAGCCAACUCGUUUAGCUAAAUGAGCUGAUUUUAACAAGUCGAGCGAGCGAGCUCGUAUAAUUUUAACUUAGUCGAGCCUGAAUCUCUACCCAAACUAUUGGCUCGUGUAAUUUCGCGAGUCGAAUCGAGCCGGCUCGUUUUAUUAAACAAGCCGAAAUUUUUGCCCGAAUUUGCUCGUUUAACAAGCCGAUCUGAGCCUAGUUAAAUGAGUUCGAGUUAGUCGAGCUCGCGAGCUGCGAGCUCACCUGCCAGCUCUAGUCCUAGUCUUGCAAUCAAAUAGGUUUAACGGUAUAGAAAGUGGAAGGAGCACAAGGCAUCCAUUCCCCAAGGCUAUUUACCAAUUCAGUACUUUGAGGAUACAAAAUCAUUCUGCAGGUACUCUUGUAUCUGUACUUUCUUGUACUGUAUGCCACUUUGACAGUAGAGUAAAAUUUAUAUCGACAAACUGCAUAUGUUCUGAACUACUCCUCUAUCCCAAAUUAGAUGAGCUAGUUGACUUUGAGCACGUAACUUAAGGUACAUUGACCAACUAGUUCCGAUAUUUAUUUUUUUAAUUUUUCUUUUGUAAAUGAAAAUUUCAUAUUUAAAUUUUUAUUUGCAAAACUAAAAUUUAAAAAUAUGUAAUGUGGCUAUGCGGUCAAUGUCAACGAGCUCAUCUAAUUUGGGAUUGGGAUGCAGGGAGUAUUACGUACUAUGUUAUGCAAGCUGUUUACAACUUUCAUCAAAAUUUUCAAACAUUUCUGAAUAUGUAUUUUCAAAGAAUUCUCGGGCACUCUUAAGGCCUAUAAUUAUUGGAACUCUCACGUUAUGGACCAGAGGACCACUAUGUAUUUUACAAGCACGACGAAUCAUGUGGUCAUUAUGGACUCCCCAAGCCUUAGAGGACUCAUUCCAGGUUUUAGGAGGACCACUGCCUAGCUCACCCUUUCGGAGUGAUGUAAAUUAGUUUCCAGACACUAAAAAUAAGUAAUCAGAUUAAUCAUUACAAAAUUUUGAUAUAAAAUCAGAAUAAAUCCUAAACUUUGAUGAUACAAAAAAAAUUAUAAUUGUAAAUUAUACAAUCAAAUUAAGAUCGAAUUAACUUCCCUCACACUUAAAAUUUAUAGCGAUCAAAUCAAAAUCGAAUUAACUUUCCUAUUACUAAAAUUUAAUUACAAUAUUAUUAGAUAAAGAGAAUAUAUAAUAAUCAAGAGAAAAUAGAUUUUUUUUUGCCACUCAACUUAUUGUGUUUUAAGAAACUUACCACCCAACUAAAUUUUUUUCCUUUUGCUCACUAAUGUUAGGUUUGGAUUUGUUUUUAGCCACCAAAUAAGGUUCGGAUUUGAUUACCAGCAUUAUGAUAAUUUUUUUUGUCACUAAACUUAUUGCGUCUUUAGAAACUAACCACUGAACUAAAUUUUUUUUAUUUUACUCACUAAUGUUAGAUUUAGUUUUUUUUGUCACUAUAGUUAGGUUCAGAUUUGAUUAUUAGCAUUACAUUAAUUCUGUGUAGCAUUUUUAAAAUAUGGUAGUAGUCUGUGAUAUUUAGAUGAUUUGAUAUAUGUCUGUAUUUUUAUAUAUAGUAUAUUUUAUGUCCCCAAGGUCGUUUACCUUGGGUCAUAAAAAUUUUACACUCAUUUUAUGACUUUUAAAAGAUGUAGUUUCAUAAAUAAUUUUAUUUUUUUCUUUCGAAUUAAAAUUCAGCAUUUGAAUUUUACACACAAAAAAAUCGCAAGAAUAAGAUAUGAAACUAUGCUUUACAAGAGUCUUAAAAUACGUGCUAAACGGUAGAAAAAACUGUAAACUAAUGAGAGGUACAUAGGGAGUAAUAAUAACAUAAAAUGAUGCACAAUCAUCGAAUUAAGUUUUCCUCUCUCUAUAUAUUUAUUUUGUAAAUUUUAAUAAGAUAAAGUUAUUAAAAUUUAUGAUAUAAAUUUAAGAGAUAUCUUAGAUUGAGUGGCAAAAAUUUAGUUGGGUGGUAAGUUUCUAAAAACACAAUAAAUUGAGUGGGAACAAAAUCUAUUUUCCCAAUAAUGAGUGGGAAUAAAAUCUAUUUUCCCAAUAAUCAAAGUGACGAAAAAUCAAAGUCAUCUAAUAAGUCCAGAAAAAAUAUGACCAUUAGUAUAUUGAAAUAAUAUUCACGCAUUUAUAUACGAGAAUAUAUGGUCCACAAGUUAGUGCACAAUGUCCAAGAAUCUUUAUCAAAUAACACGGCAAGCAUGCAGCAUAUAAAUAAGAGUGGGCAGUAUGGUAUUGCAUUCAUAACCCACUUGAGCAGAAAUAUGGCACACUUCCUAAAGCCUUCUCACCUUCUUCUCUUUGUUUUCUUUCUCUCGUUACUUCAAUCCAUUCUACCAACAAGACCAGAGGGAGAAGCUCUUGUGAAAUGGAAGAAUAGCCUAGCCCCGUCUUCUUUUCUCGAUUCUUGGUCACUAACCAAUCUCGAUAAUCUUUGUAACUGGACUGGCAUUACUUGUAACUCUGCAGGUUCAGUCUCUGGGAUUAACCUUUAUGAGAAACAACUUGAUGGAAUGCUGUCCGAGUUUGGCUUCACUUCAUUUCCGAAUCUCAACAAUCUCACCCUCGCAUACAACUUCUUCUCGGGUCCAAUACCACCAGCCAUUGAGAAUUUAACACAGCUUCAAUAUCUUGAUUUAAGCAUCAAUAGUCUCGAUGGUCCCAUUCCUUUCCAGGUUAGCCAUCUUCAGAGGUUGCUCGUCCUAAACCUGUCACAGAAUGCAUUGCAAGCUCCAAAUUGGUCCCAUUUCUCUUCCAUGCCUUUUUUGCGCAUCCUCAAGCUCAGUAGGAAUCAUCUUGUAUCGAAAUUUCCAGAAUUUAUAUCCAAUUCUCAUAGCUUGGCUAUCCUUGACCUUGGCCAGAACAACUUUACAGGUGAUCUUGUGCGUGAAUUUACCAAUCUACAAAAUCUUGAAACCCUCUGGCUUUAUCGUAAUUCUUUUGAGGGGCCAUUUCCGCCGGAUAUAGUCCAGCUUUCCAAACUAAAAGAUCUUGCCCUGUCAAGUAACAAAUUUUCAGGUUCAGUUCCCAAUAACAUAAGGUUGCUUUGUGAUCUUGAAUACCUAUAUUUAGGCAACAAUUCCUUUAAGGGGCCACUUCCACCAAAUAUAUUUAAGCUUUCAAAAUUAAAACAUCUUGUUCUUUGGAGUAAUAAGUUUUCAGGUUCUGUUUCCAAUGAUAUAGGUUUGCUUCAUGAGCUUGUAACCCUCAAUCUUAACUCUAAUUUUUUUGAGGGGCCGCUUCCGCCAAAUGUAUUCAAGCUCUCCAAACUAAAGUUUUUUGCCCUUCAUGAGAAUAACUUUUCAGGUUUUAUUUCUAAGGAUAUAGGUUUGCUUUCCGAACUUGAAAUCCUCUAUUUUGGCUCUAAUUUUUUUGAGGGGCCGCUUCCUCCACAUGUAUUUAGGCUCUCCAAAUUAAGAGGUCUGGACCUCUCACACAAUAGAAAUUUAUUUGAAGGAAGUAUUCCUAUUGGACUGGGACUCUUGACUAACCUCAGGUACUUAGAUCUACAUUCCAAUAAUCUCGGUGGCUAUAUUCCAUCUGACAUUGGAAACCUGAAGCUACUAGUACUUCUUGAUCUCGGUUCUAAUCAAUUGACUGGACCGCUUUCAAAGAUCGUUUCUAAUCUCACAAAUCUUAUAUGUCUUGAUGUAAGUCAUAAUAGUCUUAGUGGAAAUAUUCAGAGUGACUUGUGGAAAUAUAACGAUCAUCCAACUUUGGAAUACAUCAAUUUAAGUGGGAACCAUUUUACGGGUAUAGUUUUUCUCUAUAGAUCUUUUCCUUUUCUCAUAUGUAACUAAGCUAGUAAUCUGAUUAUUGCAGUUUCACCAAAGUUUCAACAAUCUUGACAGGUGAGCUUCCAACAACAAUUUGCAAUGUCACUUCCCUUUCGGUUCUUGAUUUGUCAAAUAAUGAAUUAAGUGGUGCACUUCCAAACUCUUUGGGGAAUCUUGCUGAUGGAAUGCUUUACCUUAAUCUUGCUAAUAAUCAGUUUCGAGGAACAAUACCAACUACUUUCUCCAGGAGUUGUCGGUUGACAUAUCUAAACAUGGAUAAUAAUGAGUUUGAAGGAUUGUUGCCCCCAUCUUUGGCGAACUGUAAGCACUUGAAAAUUCUUGAUAUAGGCAAUAAUAAAAUAGGUGGUACAUUUCCGUCAUGGCUUUAUGCACUUGGAGAGCUAGAAGUUCUUGUCUUGCGAUCAAAUAAACUCUAUGGUACAAUAAGUGGAAGGAGCAUAGAAGAUCCCUUCCCCAAGUUGCGGAUUGUGGAUCUGUCCCACAAUCAAUUGACAGGCUAUUUGCCAAUUCAAUACUUUAAGAAUAUGAAAUCAACUGAUAAUUUGUAUCGUUAUCAGAAUGACACAGGAGUUUUUUCUUUCCAUUAUGAAGCAUCUGUCUCAUUAACUGUGAAGGGAACAGAGUAUGAAGUGAAAAAUAUCCUUCAUAUUUACACAACCAUUGAUCUGUCCUGCAACAAGUUUCAAGGAGAAAUUCCUGACGUUAUUGGAGAGCUUAGAUGGCUUGCAUUGCUGAACUUAUCUCAUAAUAGUCUAACAGGACAUAUCCCAUCAUUGCUGAGAAAUAUGAAAGGACUCCAAUCUUUAGAUUUGUCUUCAAAUCAACUGAAAGGGGCUAUUCCACUUCAGUUAACUGCAUUGACAUUUCUAGAGGUCUUGAACCUCUCGGGAAACCAUCUUAGUGGAGAGAUUCCUCAGAAAGGGCAGUUCAGCACAUUUAACAUUGAUUCUUAUCUAGGAAACUCCGCGUUAUGUGGUUCACCUUUGAUGAAGAAAUGUGCAAACACAGCAUCACCUCCACAAGAAGCCGGAAAUGGUGAUGAAGAUGAAGCUGGUGAUGAAUUGACAUGGGAAGCAAUCGUGAUGGG